UUUAUGAACAGGUGGACAUAAUGUUGAUCAGAUGCAACUAUAAACUAGAGUUCUUCAGAAGUUGAGGUGUGUAUAUUGCCUCCUGGUUUUUACUACAUAGCCUACUUGAGCUCUGAAAGAUGUGUGUUUCCUUGUACAGAGACAUGAAGUUCAGAAAGUUCACUUAGGCUAGCCAUCUAGUUCUUGCAAUUCCGUGUCAACUUUGUGCACACACCAUUAAAUAUGUAAAAGUUGUAAAGUUAAUUAACAAAAGUGUUCUCAAACCAUGCAAUGUUUAAAGCCAAAAUCUACCAUUUGGAUCUUUAACUUUCUACUGCUUACUAGGCUAACCAAAGCAGCUGCACUGAGCUUCAGAAAUUUUCAUCGAACAUACAUAGAGCAUAGUCAAGCAUGCAAAUGUGCAAAGAUGGGAGGAAAGGUGAAAUUCUGCAUAGUUUAUAUCCUCGCAUUGUCUUGCAUGAAUCUUUCUUUUUCUUGCUGCCAACUGUAUGAGAUGAGUAUAUACUAGAGCUCUGACAUAAAGUUUGCAUGCUGCUCAUUCUUUUCUGGUCAGGAAGUGCAAGAGAAGGAAAAGAAAAAGGUGGAAUUUGGUCUCAUGCAUGUAUGUGUGUGUAAAGUUGUGAGCUUUGCUUCUUUUAAAGCCUGGAAAGAGCUGCAAUUUGCAUGCAUGGUUUGGUUUUCUGAACAUUGUGGGUUGGUCCACAUGUAUGCCUGCAUUGGCAUAAGAAACCUAAAGGCCAUUAUAUAUGUUCUUCAACCACCAUUAUGUGUUGCUAAUUUGGGAUGCAUCAUCAUGGUCCUGUCUCAAAAUUACCCGCAAAUUAAGCCACUUGAAUAAUCAUUUCCUUUGCUGAACAUAAUCAUUUUGCUCAUUGUACAAAUCAAUUAUUAGCUUUAACUAAUCCAAUGCACCUUCAUACAAUCUCACCUGCAGAUGCAUCUGAAAUGGCACAUAUGGAUCAAUGAAAGCUUCUUAUCUCAGUGAAAUAUUGCCAUUAUCUGAAAAAUUACUUAAUUAGUGGCUUAGAUUGCACUGUUGAUCUUGUUCGUUAGCUCUUUGCAGCUUCCUUUUCAGCCUUAGUUUGCUUCUUCAGAAAUCGCUCGAGAUAAAGCCCAGCUGCUUCUUUGGUUGCGAAAACUUUUAGCGGCGCGAGCUUUUGCCUGAGAGGAAGGAGACAGCAACGAAUCAUGCGCAUCAUCGCGCGUUUUCCUGCAAAGCAGCGCCGUCGCUGCCGAUCAUUUCAUAUCUUUUGCCGGACACGGAAUCAUUCUGCUUGAUCCUCUCGCUGUCUGUCUGCUUCCUCUCCCAGUGAUCGAUGCUAGCUGCAAGAAAGAACCUAUAGCUGCCCAUGCAGCUAUCUGAAUCUGAAUUCUGAAAGGAUCGAUGCGUUUUAACCCAAUCGAGUUCUCUCUCUGGAAAGCGGAUGCAUGAAUUCAUGCAUGCAUGCAUGCGCAUGGAUUCAGUCAAGCUCGACAUUUGACUUGUGUUCAUGAUGGGCAAUGAAUCAGAUGAACAGACCUGGUCUCUUAAUUCUGAAUUUUGUGUCCACAGGUGAGUGACUGAUCAGCAGGGAAGAAGAACACAAGGGUCCCAAGGAGAAAGAUGGUUUCAGGAGGAAGCAACUCUGUCAUAUGCAGCUAAUGAGUGUGCUUUAGGCUCUACUUUUGCUUAAUGCUUAGGUCUGAUGCCGAGAGAAAUAGUUAGAUUCUCUGAUAGAUUAUUAGAUACUGAGUUGAUGUGCUAAUUAGUUAUGUAUUGUUAUUACAAAAGUAUUAAUAUACCAUGAGUCACAGUUAGAUCUGUUGGAUGUGGAUCUUGGAAUGUUUCUCAACUAGCUAGUGAAAGAAGGGAUUGUUGUGAUUCUGCCAAAGAUUUUAGUGGAAUUGUUUAGCAAGAUGGUUGCUGCAUCUGCAGUCACAACUUGCAGCAACUUUUAGCCCCAUCAGUUUACAGCUUUAAGCAAGCUCCACAUGAUUUGCAGCAUGAUCAUGAGCUGCUCCUGAGUUGUAGUGUUUCAAUUAACACUGACCUGUUUCUACUUGACCAUAGCUGAACUUGACACUGGACUAAUUAUAAUUAAGCAGUUUGAUCUGUCUCUGUCUGACUGUCUGAUAGCUUUUCCAUGAACACUGGAUUGGCCCUGGUCUUUUUAGGAUUUGAAAUUUAUAAUUAUUGUACCUCACUAAUUUCCUAAUCUAUCCUCACAAUUGUGUGCUAGGCACCAGAAUUAAAGAAUCAAUUAACAAGAACACAGAAUAGAUGUUAGUCUGAAGUGGCAAAGUCAGUGGAAAAUUUUCUGUAUGAUAAAAAGUGAGGGUGGAUUGGAAUGAGGCUAUGGAUCAACCACCAUGAUGUGGUGUCUGCAAAGAGGAUGGCAAAACAUAAUCAUCCCAUCUCACAUGCUUCCCCUCUCCAAUAAAGUAUUACUACCAGUUAAUUGAUUACUCUCCUAUUGCACCAUUUGUAUUAUCAGAUAACACUACAACAGCUAAGCAGACCAACACAAAAGCUGUUAGCUAAUUUACUUGACAACUAAUACAGUAUUACACUGGUUUUAACUUUUUGGCCUCUAUGUGCAUAUAACAAUCCAUGUUCUACAUGUGGUAGGAUUAGCAGCUGUUGCACAUGAUUGUGUUAAACUGAGUACUAAAUCAUGCACCAAGACCUUUCCAUAAUCUUUGACUGGCAUGUAAUUCAACAGUACAUAUAUACUUGAUCAGAAUGCCCUGAUCAUCACAAAUACUACACUGGUCUGAACUGUUUGGUGUGAAAUUCUAUUUUGACCUAAUUAAUUGAUUUCCAUCUCAUUUAAUUUGCUGCAAAAUCCAAUGCGAGAUUAGUAGUACUUGUUCGUACUAUUUCUGUACCUGCAGAGAGUGACACAGAUCAUAGUAUCAUACAGUAGCAGCCAUGAAUUUAUAUAUAUAUAAGCAUCCAGUGCCCAAAAGAAUCAAUCUAUCUUUCUUACCUACUUGACUUGCCCUUGUCUCUGUAUAAAGAGAUCUCAAGCUGAGCUCAGCUCACACACACAUUGCCUUAGCUUGCCAGCUUGUGUCAUCGGCGGCGGCGGCGGCGGCGAUGGACGAGUCGUGGAGGUGCACGAUGGGGUCGGUGCUGCCGCGGCAGAGGUCGUCGGACCACCACGCCGGCGGCGGCGGUGGCGGCGGGCGGCAGAGCCUCGCGCCCGACGACUUCCGCGACGUGUUCGGCGGGCCGCCGCGCACGGUGCUCCUCCGCAGCUUCUACGGCGGCGAGGCCGCCGCCGAGAGCUACCACUCCCCGGCGAUGGCGCAGCAGCAGCACCACCACGUGUACUACGGCGGCGCCGCCGACGCGUUCUGCCGCCGGGGCGCCGCGGCGGCGGCGGCCGUCGUGCCCACCGAGGAGGGCUUCUUUGACGACAUCUUCGGCGCCGGCCGCCACGCGAGGUCGAGGUCGAGGUCGACGAAGUCGUCGUCGGUGGUCAGCUCCGACGAGUUCGGCGCCGGCCCCGCCUUCUACCGGCCGGCGGCCGCCUCCUCCGGCUGCCGCGGCGGCGACGCCACGCUUUCCUCCUUCGCUUCCAAACUCAGGUGUGCAUGCGCGCCACGUGAAGCUACAUGCACAUAUUGUGUUCAUCACGUUAAUGCCAAAUUAAAUCACACGCACUAAUUAACCAGAUUAAUUAGCGUAAGCACACUAGUAAUUCUCAAGAACAUUGUGCGUACGUGCAGGCCGAUCGCGAUCCCGUCGCGGCGGUACGACUCGUCGCCGCCGUCGACGGCGUCGACGAGAUGCGACUACCAGAGCAGCUUCACGUGCUCGACGGCGGCGUACCCGGCGUCGCGCUGCUACUACUACGCCGGCAGGACGGCGGCGACGAACCACAGCAGCGCGGCGAGCAGCCACGCGGCGGCGCAGCAGCACCGUCACCACCACCGCGGCGGCGGCGGCUUCUGCUGCUUCACGUCCAACCCGGAGACGACCAGCAACGGGCACAGCUUCCGGCGGACGCGCGCCGGCGGCAGGAGGGCGCGGUCGCCGGCGGCGACCGACACCGACACAGCGACCGAGUGGUCCCAGUACUCUCACGCCGACUACGGGUACUACUACUCGCCGCCGUCCGCCGCGUCGUCGUCGGCGUUCGGCAACCCGCUGCCGAGGACGCCGCGGCGGCUGGAGGAGGUGGUGAUGGAGGUGAGGGAGAGGGCGCCGUUGCUGAUGGACGACGACGGCGGCGGCGACAUCGACAGCGUCGGCGCCGCCGCCGUGGACGAGGCCAUUGCAUGGGCCAAGGAAAGAUUCUGGAGCCAAUCCUAGUAGUAGAAGAUGGCCAAUUUCAAUCCACCAAUUCAUGUUAUGCCCUUUGUAAAUUGGAAUCACAAAUUCAUUCUUAUUAGCUUAGAUGCCUAGAGAUGAUUGAUGAAAAUGUGGGUCACAUCAAUAUAUUUUGUAAUGCGCCUAAUCUUGGAAGAUUGAAAACAAUCAAAGUUAAGCAUACAAGAUUUCUCUUCAGAAGCAACAAGAGAAGUGUAGGGAAACAUAUCGAAAUCGUGCUCUCAUGAUAGGAGAGCCGAUCCAUUUUCCUCGUAUAUUAUGUUUCAAGCUUCCACUUAUAUGGCUACAGUGCUACAGUCUGGUGAUAAUUGCAAUCAGUAAUACUAAUGCACAGAUUUUGCUGCAACCCGUAACUAAGAACACUAGAGCUGCAGAGUGGGGGUGAUCCUGAGGAAUACCGAUCCAUAGAUUCAGAUCCUAAUUUUGAUCCACGCUACACAAAACUUGGACAAUGAAAAAGAAUGCAAUGACCAAAGUGUACAAAAAUUUCCAUGUGGAACACCACGCCUGUGGCGAAAAUCAGCCUUAUCUCCAGUUCUCCACCUUGUGAAUGCUAACAGUUGCUAUUUUGUUCUAGUGAUGACUCUCUCUGUGAUGUCAAUAAGAGCACGCCUUGAUGUCAGAACAUCUUCAUCAUCGCUGUCUGGGAGAGCUUCUAUGGCUUUGAUUGCACGGUUAGCAUGUUCUCUUGCAAGCUCUUUCGUCUUUUCAAUCCCGCGGCUCUUCUGUAGGUAGUCAAGAGCCUGUAAUUUUAUAAAGUGUAGACCGUUAAGUUACGGCAGUUACUUUUACCCAGUAGCUCAUCAUGCAAUGUGGAUAUGAACCAUAUGAUAACUAUUGCAACAGUAUGGCAGUUUAAGCCACUUUCCUUCAGCUUCCCAGUGAAAGAUUCAAAACAAAUCUUGAAGAUAAGCAGCAUCAGAAAUUAAAUGAUUACUGGAUUAAAAUUGCAAAAUCAUGAAAUAGGUUUAUAUUUGUUGAAAACCAAUUCUUUUUAACAUUUCCAAGUAUCAUGUUACCAUAAAUAAAUAUGGCUUUUAUGUAUAAUAGUAUGAUGUUCAUCUGCCAUGUGUGAGACAUUUGCAAAGGGUGUGUAAAUAAUUAGAGAAAGCAUGUUUGUAAUCCAGAGUGAUUUACUCACAAGCUCAACAUUUGCAGGAUUGUCAAAACCCCUGUCAACAACUUCAUGUAGUUGUGGGAAUUCUUCCAUCGCAUAAAGCAUAGGUGCGGUAAUGAUUCCCUGCAUUAUGAAUGCCAACGAAUGUCAAACAGUGUAAGCACUUCCUAAGAGAGAGAAUCAGCAGUCACACGACACCAUUGUAACUGGAUAUGCUGGUAAUUACAAGUUAUUAGGUAAAAAACAGAACUAUGAAAAUAAAUGUUGAUACCAUAUUUUACACCUAAUUUCACUAGAUUACUACAAGGUGCACAAAAGUAUUCGUACAAGCAAUAGGGUUCAGACUUCAGAAUAUUAUUGUUAUAUGAGUUAACUUCUAAUAGUAGUAAUAAAUUAUAUGGUUCUAGUAUGUGAAAAAUGAUAGAUAAGGCUGAAAAGAGUAAAAUACCCAUCGACUGAGAUGCUUACACAAUUAGACCAAUACAAAUCACUGGUGUUAAUUCCAAAUUAAAGCCUAAGCUAUCAGGUGUGUUAAGUACUCAAGUUCAAGACAGCAGCUUACACAGUUACAAAGGGCAUGACGAAGGAUAUGCUUAUUAGUCAAUUUCAUUUGUAUUCUACACUAAAUAAACGUUCUAAAUAAUUGUUGAGCUCUUAAUUCUAUGUUUGUUGGAGGUUAAAUGGAUAUUAAGUUGCUAAGAUAAAAUAUAAUAGGAAAAUUGGGAUGGCUGUUAUUACAUGACGGAUAUCAGUUAAUGAACCCUUCCCAAGGGAUGCAGAAGUGCCUGUGAAAUCAAGAACAUCGUCGAUCAACUGGAAGGCUAAACCCUGCAAGGAUCCCAAGUUAACUAAGUCACUGGAAGGUUCACAGCAUUAGCUAAGAAAGAAAUCUAGCUUCAAAAAUGGGAAGGAAACUAUAAGAUGUUUCACAAACCAGGUUUCGACCAUAUUCAUAUGCGAGCAUUGACACAUCAGCAGUGUGCCCUGCAAGAAUAGCGACAGCCUUGCAGCUAUUUGAUAUCAAUGAUGCUGUUUUGUAGUACGUCUUCUGCAAGUAGUAAUCCAUACUGCAAAUUGUUCGGAAUCGUAAUAGAACUGUCAAAUGGGAGUAUUUAAAUACAGAAAAUAAAGUACAUGAAUAAACAAAUACUGCAAGCAUUUCAAAUAUCAUUAUCUUAGAUUUAGGUAUUAGAGCAACUACCUUCGCCUUUGCUCUCUACUUGUGGAGAUUUGCAUGGUUUCACCAGUAACUAGAUGUUCUACAGCAGUAGCCAUUAGAGAUACCACCUGAAGAAACAAUGUAGAGAAAUCAAUUGGUGCUUUGGUAGGAUACAGAACUACCAAGAAAAAAGGGCUAGCACUGCAAUCACAAGAGUGAAUCCAGAAAUACAGUAUGAGCUUGGCUAGAAAAUGAUGGUAAGAAAUACAUUCCAAGACAACACUAGGAGUUGAGCCACUAUGAUUCAUAAGCUCAACGUGGAGGCCAAGAAACGUGCAUCCCCAAUAAAGCAAAUGGCAUGAGAUCAGACCAAGUACAUGGACAUGAGAUCACAUGUGAAACAAUGAGUGGAAAAGAAUCAAGUAACCAGAAUAGAGCAUGGCCACUUAAACUUCAGCCCUUUAGACUAUUACAAAUAAGUAUGAUAUUGUCUUGGAGACUAUUACAAAUAGAUUAACAAUAUCCAAGUACCUCUGUGUUCCCAAGCGCUGCAAGUGCCACACAUGCUCUAGACAGGAGGAAGUCACCAGCCAGAACAGAAAGCUGAAAGCAUAAGAAAUUAAUAAUUUGUGGAAUACUGGUGUAAAGAUAAUUUAAAUAGUACCAUCUCCGUGAGUAAUAAGUAAUUGAUGAACAAUGAUGCCCCCAGAAACUUUAAAAACAUCUUCACGCUAUCCUUUUGUGUGUGUAUAAGGUGAUGUGUGUGUUCUUGAUGAGAGUAUCUAAUACUCACUUAGUACACUGCGUAUGCAGUUCGUGUGACUUACAAUACCUUGUUCCCCAUAAUGCAAUUCAACGAACUGACGCCACGCCUAGUGUCAGCAUCAUCCAGUACAUCAUCAUGUAGAAGGCUUGCAACCUGUGAUAGACAUCAGCUUGAAAUUCUUCUUUUUUAAAAAACGUUCUGAAUGGAAACUGCUCUACUAACAUGAAUCAUUUCAGUUAUCUCGGCAAUAUUUUGCUGUCUCGUGCGGAGCUUAUUUGCCAGUAUAGUUAAAACUCCCACUUCUGUUGAAUCUGAUAAGGGGAAUUUCAGAGCUGAUGCCAUCAACAAUAAUACCUGCCAAUAGAGCAUACAACAUUCAAAACAAAUAUGAAUAAAGGAUAAUGGAAGCAUGGAUAUUAACGAGUAUACAAUAAAUAGCAUGACUGAGAUAUUACCGUGGGUCUGAAUCUUUUACCCUCAGCUCCCACCUUAAAAAAAUACUCAGCAGCUGAUGCCAGUUUGGGGACCUGCAAAAAAAAAAAGUAGUGCUCAGUCUGAAGCCUAUUUAGGAACCAUUGAAAAUGACGAUGUGAUAAUCACUAGGUCAAUGAAGCAUAUGCAAUCAUCUUGCGAUCAGCAGAGUAGACCCAAAUAACCAGACAUGUCUACUCAGAAGAAUCAAGGUGUAACCAACCUCAGCAGCUACCAUGGAUCGUAGCCUAUUUGCAAGAAGUGACAACUCAUCAGCAACCAACUCAAAUGGAUCCUGCUGUUCCUGAAAUCAGGGGAAUUUUAAGACUUACAGACACUUAAAAUGGGUGCACACCAGUAAUUUUCACAAUUAACUCUCAUACCGAACAACAAAAAAGGUUUUUCAUUGAUUACCCGGUAAUAGAAUUAGAUCAGCAUGAUUUUUUGUUCCUGAACAGAUCAUUUCAUUCUAGUUUCAGACCUUUUUAGAUAAUAAUGCAUGGUUGUAAAUUAUCUUGUUAGGUUCGCAAUGCAACAUACUGAUUCCAUUAAAGGGUCAACAUGUGUGCCUGCCUAACAAGUGUAUCAAUCAAUUGAAAACUGAAUGGGUCUUUUUUUUGGCAGCAUUGCCAUUUUCUAUAAGUUGAUUUGUAAAUGAAGAAACUGCAUAUCUUUAAUAAUUGGGGUAUGUAAUCUUCAUGAUGGCCAGCACAGGCAGUGCACAAAGAUUGGCAUCAAACAGGUAUUAAUCAAACUGUAUCACUAAGAAACGCUACUAUGCAAUAAAUGAGAGCUCUAAAAAGAUAAUGCAAGCAAUCAGGCAACCCAAAUAGCGGGCCACAUAGCAGAAUAACAUGUGGGAUUCCAAAGGUAUGUCACAAUGGCAACAGCCCAUUUUUCCCAUCGGUUCUGUCGCUAGACCUAGACAUAUUCUGAAAAUAUGGUCAUGUAUAUAGGUGGAUGGCACUCGAAAGAUUAUUUUUGUGCCUUGGUAAUAGAUUAUGUAUGUGCAGUUUAUUUAUUAUAAUGGGGCUCCACACCUUCCUUCCCAAAAGAAAAUGCACAAAAACUGAGAUCAUUACAAACUGAAUGAGCACCCACAUAAACAAAUCAUUGGAGAAACAAGGCUUCGCCUACCUCAGACCUUGAUAACCCAUCCUGGCGAACCUGGUACUGAGCAUCAUGUAACCAUCGCGAGCUCACGAAAGUAGCUCCUCUGCAACCCACCACCUACUAAUCCACACCAAAAAUCACAGAACCUAUCAGCACAAACAGAAGAAGAACAAAUCCUCUCUAAAGUAUACACGCACGGUAAUCUCUCAAUCUUUCCACCCCAGUCAUUCCAAUUUGACAACUAGCACACAGUACCUCUCUACAACUACGAGAAUGAUUCCGGAAGGUACACUACUACACUGGUCGCCUAGUCGGCAUAAACACAAACACAUUGCGGGCAGGCCAGGGAAGGGCAGCUCCGCCACCACCCACCCGCGCACCGAUCGACGAGGCACGUCACAGGAAAACCACAAGAGAGAGAGCAUUAGUAAAUACAGGAAGAGGAGGGGACCUUGCUCCGAAUCUGGUAGUGCGGCGGCGACGGCGGUGGAGGGUGCCUCCCGAGGAGGGCAGCCGCCGAGGAGAAGAGCCGCUGCGCCUGGGCGGUGGCGCCGUCCCCACCGCCGCUCGUCGCGCCCAGCGCGGCGACGCGCCGCGCGAGAGCCCACCGCCACGACAUGGCUCCCGAGAUCGGGGGGAGGGAGGAGGGAGGAGGCGGAGUUGAACUUGGAGAAAAAGUCUGGGAAGAAAGAAAAAAACGAAGGCGGCUUGGUUCAUUCGCUCUCCGCGGGUUAGAAGGAAGGGCAGCGAUGGGCCUGGCUGGCUCGCUGACACGUGGGGCCGGCGUGGGGGUGGAGCAACGUGCGUGCGCUCGGUCUGCCACGUCAUGCCGUGCACCGUGCACAUGAGAUUUGCCCAGGCAUUUUCUGAUUUUCUAUGGACCCACGUCGGCGUGUACACAGCGAAAACACUCCUACUCGGACACUCGACGAAAGAUAAAAAUAUCGGGCACUCCUUGAUUCUUCUCACCACUACCUCUGUCGCUCCGCGUAGCUUCAUCCGCCCCCAUGACCUUCGCCGCCUCCUCUAAAUCCCCAACCUCUAGCCAUGGCUCGUUGCCUCUUCACCUUCCUGCCCCCCCUCCCCCGGCCACUACCACCUCCGCGAUGGAGGCAGCCAGGGCUUAGGGUGACCACGGAGUACAAUAGCGAGGAGGACAUGUGUUGCUCGCAAGGUGUAUUGCAAGGUCAUGGGUAGGCUCUCCAAGCUAUGGUUGUUGUUCUAGAGCGACCCGAAGAGGCAAGGGGAGGAGGACCCAUGGCAGAUCUUCACCGCCGCCGAUGGUCCGGCUCAUUGCCAAGAACUUAUCCGUGUUUUACAAUGUCGAGACCCACAACGUGUUGCUCAGAUCUAGAUGGCGGUGGCCCUUCUUCUCCUCUCAUGUUCUAGAAGGGUAGCAUGUUCGAGGACGACGUCAUCGCUUCACUGCCAAAAGCACACAUGGGAGGAGAUGGAUGCUUGUGAAUUUUUCAUUGUUUUCAAUCCAUGCAUCCGGAACUUUCGUUAGUUCGAAAAAAUGUUGAUGUGGGUUUUGGAUGGUGUUUUAUUUUUUUUGUCCUCGAUUUUACUCGGAUAUAUAGAUGUUUCAAUAGCUUAAAAUCAUUUGUUUCAUCUUGUGAUUCAAUUGUAUUUCACUGCUUUUUGAGUUAAAAUAUUGCUUGAUUGACCACUGAAACAUUUCUAUAUAAGGGGUGAAAAAAUCAGACGCCUAAUUCAUAGUUGUUUCGCACAAUUCGGAGUAAUCGUAUAGUGGACCAAUAUUUUAUUAUCCAAAGUCUUUUUGAUUGCUUACUACCAUUGUUGAGGAGCUUAUAACAGCUAUAAUUUCCCGUGGGAUCUCUCCAACUCUUUUAAACAAUCCAAAUUUUCAUCUAGCUUUUGAUAAUCUAUAAAAGAAUCCAAAUUUUCAUCUAGCUUAUGAUAAUCUGUAGUUACAGAAUAAAAUAAUAGACUAGACAUAAAAAACGAGGAAAUACCUUUUAUCAAAUUCUUAGAAAUUGGCUACUAACUAGUUGUUUUUAGAAUUUUAAGCUCUCCAAACAACACGUAUAUUUAAUAUUUGAAAUACUAAACAAUUUUAUGCUCUAUUUAUAUGUCAGAUUGUAAGACAAAAGGUAAAGCCUAAAUCAGCAUGUAGAUUUUCAGCGGGCUUUUUAAAAGCUAUAAGUAACAUGCUCGUGGUCUCGUGGACUGAAUGGUGAUUGAGGAUAAAACAUUGGAUUUGAUAGCUCCUCACGUAUAAUAUAUGGGGACGCGCAACGUUUGGUGAGAUGAGGGAUGGAAGAAGGACGACACCACUUUUACAGUAGUAUACAUGACCCAAUCUUGCAAGUUAAAAACUAGAUUUUGAGUAGCUUUUAUUUUUUUUCUUAUAUGGAUUAGGGUUAUAACUUUGUCCUUGAACGAGGCCUUGCCAAGAACUUAAAAUUCAUUGAAAAUAGGGAAUAAUUUAAAAUAUUAAUCCAAUUGCCUAUGGCUAAACAAAUACGGAGUAGUAUAUAGAUGGUCAUGCUUUGCUUGCUUUUCACGUGGAUGGUGGUGUAUACCAGCGAGGUGGUGGACGAAGUCUACAUUUUUUUCUUCGGUGGAGUGGAACUGGGCUUGUUGUCACCUUCCAGGCCACUUAAUAAAUUGCUACUUUUCCCAGACCACGAAGACCUGCGUCUGCCCACUAGUUCAAGAUAGACUUUUUUAUUACCAGCCCACCCAUGCUUUCGCGGAAAGCUCAUCUAGCCUAAAGGGCUGGCCCAGUUUGAUCAAGCAAAGGCCCUCCGCUUCACCACUCCGAAGGCAAAAUGAGCUAAUUUUCAGUUUAAGAGUUUCCUUCUGUUAAAAUUUUGAAAUUUGAUUUGUAGAGCGUUUUCUCACAUAGAGAAAACACCCUCCAAAAACGAUCAAAUCCAAAUGAGCUAAUUUUCAGUUUAAGAGUUUCCUUGUGUACCAAUAAUAAUAAAAUUUUGAAAUUUGAUUUGUAUGCGUUCUCACAUGGAGAAAACACCCUCCAAAAAAUGAUCAUAUCCAAAUGAACUAAUUUUCAGUUUAAGAGUUUCCUUUUGUGUACCAAUAAAAUUUUGAAAUUUGAUCUGUAGAGCGUUUUCUCACAAAAGAGAAAAUAAGAGUACUAAAAUUUUGAAAUUUGAUCUGUAGAUCGUUUUCUCAAAAAGAGAAAACAGCCUCCAAAAAUUUAAAAAGAGAACACCCUCCAAAAAUUUUGAAAUUUGAUCUGUAGAGCGUUUUCUCAAAAAGAGAAAACACCCUCCAUAAAUAAGAGUAUGCUGCUAUUUGUGGCGCGCACACGGUAUUCUUUAGUAAAAGGCGAAAGAAUAGUUCGCUUUGUGCCCACCACGCAGCUGCUUGAGUCUAAACCGAGCAGCUACCACCCUUUAAAUACCCGAAUGGCUAGCUCCCCUCCACCAAAACAAGCGGUAUGGUACUAAACAUUCUGAUUUGCUUCGCAACAUCCUCUUCUCACGUCGCGUGGGCCUUGGUACGCAAAUUGAAACCAGUCCGGCCUGCAACAACUCAUCCAACACCGUUCCUUUAUGGGCCCAAAUGUAGUGGGCCACAAUACCGCUCCGGUCCAACAUAAUAAUGGCCCAUCGCUGGGAACAUUUUGAACAGCCCAUAUAGAAGAGGAGACUAGGCCGAACCACGUGAUCUGUCUCUGGCCUUGCUCCAAAUUCCCCUGAUUUCCUCUCGACCAAUCUCCCCUAUUCUGGAAGGGAACUUCUGAUGCGAUGGGAAUGCCCCUGAACUAUCGACAUCGAUCGAAUAAUCCUCUAAAUUUAAAAACUAGACAUCAUACACCCCAACUAAUAAAACCGGUUACUUAACCCCCUUAAGCAGAGUUAGGUGCGGUUUUGAUUAGUUUUUGUACACAUGCAGUACAGCGUUGCGAAUCUUGCUGUAUCAGUCCACCGUAUGACACCUUGUUAUUAUGGCCGCUAUUAUAUCCUAGAGGAGCGCCAUACCGAGGAAGCAGACCAACACAAAUCGAAUACUCAUUCCGUCUCUAAAAAAACAAUCUAGUAUUGAAUGUGACACAUCAAUUCUAAUUUUUUUUUUGGGACAGAGGCAGUAUGACGGAUCUAGGGGAAGCGGAGAAGGCGACGUGCGCCCUACCAAUUUUUUUGGUAGUUUGAAUAGUGAAUGUAAUGGUUUGGUUUCGAGCCAAAUGAACGGUAAUGCCUAUGGUUAAUUUGGUCAAGAACUUUCUUGACCGUAAUAUAACAUUUGGCUUCAAAUUGGAAUCAAUUCAAGCCCACUCAUUUAAAAUGCUACCAUACGAAAAUAUUGGUAGUGCCAAAACUUAUGUUUUGGCACUACCAAGUACCAAUAAUUUGGUAGGGCACUAAACCAAACAAGCGCGACAUACCUGUUAGGGUUUUGAUCCCUCAUCGAGGAGUCCUAUCCCACAGCGACCUUGCUCUAUCACAAAUGGGGAUUCAGAAAUCGAGAAAAGAGGAAAAAAAAGCGAUGAAGAGGGAGGAAGGUGAAUUGAAAUGGUCUAUUCUAGAUGUGGUUUUUGGGAUGGGCCCACCACAAAAGAGUCUGGUUUUUUUCUACCAAAGGAAAACAAACAAAGAACGCACACGCAUUUUUUCUACUUCUCAGAAGACGCACACACAGACACACCUAAUGACACUACUACACAAGAAGUCGAUCGGUUACCAUGACCAAAAAGGAAGACGACGACAACAAGAAAAACAAGCAUAAAUCGAUUGAUUAUAUAUUUACGGGAAAACGAAAUCCGAGUCACUCCAACACGUUCACGUGCACUCCUGACGUGUGUUUAUUUCAUGAAAAAAAAUUGAAUGUCACGUCGGAUUUUGGACUGAGGUCAGAAGGGGUUUUUGACACGAAUGAAAAAACUAAUUUCAUAACUCGUCUGGAAACCGCAAGACGAAUUUAUUAAGUUUAAUUAAUCCGUCAUUAGUAUAUGUGGGUUACUAUAGGUAGUGUUUGGCAAAUGUCUAAGGGAAAUGAUUUCUCUCUUUAAAUCUUAACCAUUCAUUCUCCCUCAUCUAUUUAAUCCUAACCCUUCAUUCAUUUCCCAAUCCCAAUCCCACCUAUCAUUUCCCAUUAUCCAAACACACCCAUAGCACUUAUGGCUAAUCAUUAAUUAAUUAGUCAUAAAAGAUUCAUCUCGCGAUUUUCAUGCAUACUAUACAAUUAGUUUUUUUAAUCUAUAUUUAAUGCUUUAUGCAUGUGUCGAAAAAUUCAAUGUAACUUUUUAGACAAAAAUUUUUGGGAACUAAACAUUCUCUCUUUUUUCCACUAACGAAAGCAACAACGACUUCCGGUCUCUACACACCCCGGCACACUUCCCUGGCCUCUACGAGACAUAGCCGAUGCAUACGGAUCAACCUACGAAUCCGUUUAUACGUAAAAUUAGCGAGCAACCUAUAAAUUGACUCACAAAUUAUCUAUUAAUUUGACCUAUAGAUCGAUCCACUUGUAUCUAUCAGAACACCAAAAUCCACAGGUUACCACACAUUUAUGAUAUAUAAGUAGGUUCGUGGAUCGAUCCGGUUGCAUCCCUCAAGCUACCCGGCAGGAACAUACACGCAGAGAACGCAAGCAAUUCAUGGCGGCCAUACAGAUGCACGGCAUUCUGCAGCAUUAUCCACAUCCAGAGACAACUACACGUACGUACGUACGUCUGGAUGUGUGUGAACGAUCACGACCCUCGCCGUGCAUCGCAGGGCACGAGCGCACUAGUCGACAUGUAACGUUUUUUCGCCGAUUUCGGAUGGAGACGUUCGCCCCUAUCGCGACUCAUCCGUAGACUGAUGCCCAUUUAUUAAACUUUGUCCAUAACUGUUGAUGUAUAUGUUCGAGAUGCAGCUUCGUGAUUAAUUCCGGCUUUGUUAGAGCCAUCUUCGAGCGUGUGGCCAUUUUGGCUUUCUAUUAGUAAAUGGAGGAAAUCGUCACUCCAAUGAAUUUGGGAUGAAAACGGUCACGAAAAUUUCUAACUGAAGGAGCGUCAUUUUUUUAAGUGGUAUCGUUUCCAGUUCUAACCACAUAUAAGAUUUGAAAUUUCUAUUUUUUUUAAAAAAAAUCAUACAGCUGUUGCCAUUGAUAGUUAAAUUAAUAAAUAUGAUUGAUUCUUGACUAAUCGGGAUUUUUUUCUAAUUAAAGAGAUGCUACUGACAUUUUGAAUUUUGAAAAAAAAUGUUUAAAUUUAAUCAAUACUUGUUAAAAUGUGUAUUGAAAGGUAGCCAAGGGUAAAAUUCAUCUCUUGGAAAUUUUUAUCAUGGAGCCAGGAAGCCGCUGCCGUCGCCCCAGCCGCAGAGCUUGUUCGUGCACUCCGCGUCGCUCUACUACCUGCACGCGCCUUGCACGUUCGUGGCCGACUCGCCCCUGCCAUGCGGGCUGCUCGUGGCGGCGGCGCUCGAGCCGGCACUGGAUGAGUGACUGUGCCCCGUCGACCACGUCAAGGCGCUCGGGCGUCGUUCCGCCGGAUGUCGUCGGCCGAGGCGGAGGGCGACGACCUCUGCGAUGUGUUCCUGGAGUAGCACGCGCAUCGCGGAAGGAGGCGGUGGAGUCGGGGACAGGGAGGGUGGGGACGGCCUCCCUCGUCUCCCUCGCCGGGAGGAGCGACGGCGGCGGCGGCUUGGCGAGGAAGGGCAGUGGCGGGGUGAGGAGGAGCGGCGGCGGCGGCGGCGGCGGCGGCGAGGUAGCGGCUCGGCGAGGAAGGGUGGCGGUAGCAGCGGCGGAGCGAGGAGCGGCGGCGGCGGCGGCUCGGUGAAGAGGAGGAGGAGCGAGUAGCGACGCCCGUCAGCCCGUGGGAAGGGAUAGAGAAAAAAAGAAGAAGCGAACCGUUUUUUUUAAUGGAAGUGGUGGGUAAUUUUUCCUCCCAAAAGUAGGUGAAAGUAGGAGGUAGAUGUGCUUUUGAUUUGUACUACACCAAAAACUGGCUUUGGGUAAAAACAGUUGUUGCUUUUGGGCCCUUUGGUUGGCUUUUGGCUUUUGCAAAACUAAAAGCAAAUUGAAAAGCCCAACCAAACACACCCUAAGUGUCCUAUAGCAAAGCGUCGAAACUAGAGUGUCAUGGAGAAAAUACCAAAAAUCUAGAGUUUCUUAGAGCAAAAUUUACCAGAAAUAUAUAUCCCGCUUGAUUUUUUUAAUCAAAUGUUUGAAACUUGGACCCUGUCAAUAAUUUAAUUUUAAAAUGCUCACUUUGGAAACAUAAAAAAUGAUAUAUGUACAUUUGUAUUUAAAAGUCAUUUUAUAAUCUUAGAAACCUAUCAGAUUCAUUCAUUUAUUACUCUAGUGAAAAAUAAGUAUUUAGUGGUGGUGUGGUUAGCAGGUCUGAACAAGGAACAGUAGAAGAGGGGAACAACAGUGAUACCCUGGUGCACAGGGCAAUGAGAGAGGGAUAUUCCGGCGACACAUAUCCAUUGAAGGUACGAUUUAACACUAUUCAAAAAUAAAAAAAAUCAAGAAUUGUACCAAAAUACUGUUCUCCCUUUAAGAAUCAGCAAAGAUUAUUCCCUCGGCCCAAACAAUUUCUGUACGUCUUAGUUGCAUAUAAUCUGGUAAAUUCCCUGCAUUUGAGGCUAAAAGAAGGCUUUAAUUUUGUUUGCGAUCAAGCAGUCAAAAUUCUCUGACCGCUUCAAGCCACUUGCAAGCUCUUGCAAGGAACUUUGAUUUCAGAUAGCGAGAGCGGCAACAAAAUCGCUCUCUUUAGCUAAUCAUUUUACCGAAAAUGCCCAUGGCACCAUCCCUGUUUAUGAUUUUUUUUAAAAAAAACCACCCCAAAUAUCAACUUGAGUUUGAGAUUUUCAUAUAAUACAAUUUUUUACAUAUACCCCCCUAAUUUAUCUUGAUUUCAUACUCCUCCCAAAUUAACGAUUGCCAUUGUUCGUGUGUUUUUUCUUGUCUCUUUCCGAUUGUGUUAUAUGACUUGGCACAUCUUUCUUAUUUUGAAUAAGCCAAAAGAAAACAAGCCACUGCCGAGUCUUAUGAGAUAAGCGUAAUAGCUCAUCUUUUAUCAUGCCUGGUCGACAUGAGUGACAAUCACGUCUUCAUAGUUGUGUCAUCUUAUGGAGUUUGCAGCCACGAAAACGAGCGACAUGGCAAAUAACAACUAUCAGCAGAAUCUCAAACCAAAAUGAAUUAGUAAGAAGAGUAUUUGCAACAAAUCGUCUAGAUGGGAGGAAUAUCAAACUCAUGGGUGAUAUUUGGGAUGUUCUUUUAAAUCUUCAUAUAUAAAAAGUCAUGGCAUUGCAGAGAUAAACGCCGUGAACCGAGGGUAAUUUCGUGAGCUGAGGACUAUAAAAACAGCAAGCGGCCUCUUCACUGGCAAAGCUGUGCUGUCUCUCGUCACUGUUUCAUAGCUAGUAGGACGAAGCUGAGCUUUUCCAAGAAGAGAGGAGAUCGACGAUGAUGGCGAGCAGGGCGUCCUUGUUGCUCCAGGUCGUCCGGACCUCGUCCCGCUCGCGCAAGGGCGAGGGCGGCGUCGUCUUCUCCGAGGUCGCGCCGUGGCAGCAGCAGCAGCCCAUCUCGGCGCCCGCCGGCGCCGGCGCCGCCGGCAUAGGCUCGCCGCGGCCGGCGGCGAAGCUGGACACCAUCGUGGAGGAAGAUCACUCCAGCAUGAUGAUGCAAGAAGCCGCUACCGCCUUUCAGGCCGGCCCGUCUGCUGCUGCUGCUUCUUCUUCUUCUUCUUCAGCGUCGUCGUCAUCGUCAGCUCCGGCGGCCAUGGCUUACCGUUUCGGCGCCGCAGAAGAACAUGGCCAUGGCGAAGCGUUGCUGAUAAGGUGAAUUUUGAGAGCAGAGGCGUUGCGUGGGUUUGUGUGGCAGGCAGAGGAUGAUGCAGUCAGUUACUAUUUACUACAACGACGGCGUCCUCUUUUUCUUCCUAAAAAAUUACCGUGUCCUUUGCAGCCGUAUUAUUUUACUCUAUAUGCGUUGUAAAAUGACACGAUCUAUCGGCUUAUAAUUAAUUAAUUAAAGUGAUAAUUGAUGUUUCGUAGUACAGUAGUAGUACCUUUUUUCAAAGACAAGUAUUUUGGUCUUUGCACGAACUAGGAUGCGCACAGACAUAUAUGUAAACAUGUGCUCCUUACCAUAUGUAUAUAAUGAGUAGGAGUGAUUUUACGGCCUCACAUAUAUAAUGAGUAGAAGUAAUUUUAUGGUCUGUAAGAAGGUAUUGGAAGAUAUCACAUCUUUUUAUGUAAAAUUUGAUGUCUCUCGAUACCUUCGGUAUUAUGAGCUAUUUCUUAGUACUUCUUAAAGACCAUAAAAUUUCUUGGUACUCUAAAAUUUUUCAUAGAGUAGUGAUAGGGCAGACACAUUAGUGCACAAGAGCCGGAGGAAUAUAUCUCCUGAAACUCAAAUAAUAUGUCAAUUUACUGAGGGCUUCUCCUAAAACCUUGUACAACUUGCCUGACUAUAUACUCCUAUAUACUACUUCCUCCGAUUCUGAAACUAAGAGACAUGUCUCUAAAUGUAAUGGUCCUGAAUUUUUUCUUUCAAAAAAACAAACCUCUCAUCUAUUAAAAACCGGAGGGAGCCAAUAUAACCUAUAAGGUGACUAAAUAAAAGGAGCGUGAUAUUGAUAGGAGAAUUUCUUUUUUUUUCAUAAACCAGGGAAAUUAAUUCCAUUUCAAUAAUAGGUAGAGAUCAAGUACCAUCAAGAACGAUGAGAAACUACAAAUUGCUGAGAGAGCAAGAUAUAGCUUGUUAAUUAAUUAGACGCCAAUACAAUGUCAGCAAACAGUCAAAUGAAUUAAUCAAUGGCAUACACACACAAACGCAGCCAAUUAAAUCUCAACAAUAGCUAGCUAGUUGGAGCAAGACGACGACGAGCCACACUCGCCGGCGCGGCCGCGAUGGACACCGGCGUCCGCCGCCGCCGCCAUCCUCUUCCUCCUGGUCUCCAAGAACCACUCCAUCGACCUCUUCAUCGACAGCUUCCCUUCGCCGCCGCCGCCGCCGCCCGCCUCCUCUUCCUCCUCCAACGCCCUCUUCGCCAUUCUUAUGAUCGCCCUCGCCUGCCUCUCCGCCACCUCGCCAUUGCCGCCGCCGCCGCCACCGAUGACCACCUUCUUCUCCGGCAGAAUCGCCGAGCUCUCGCUCUCGAUCUCGCUGCACCGCACGUUCGGCCUCGCCAUGAUCGAUCGAAUGGACGCAAUCUCUCUCUCUCUCUCGAUCGAUCGAUAGUAGAGUAGAGUAGAGGAAGAAGAGAUCUCUUUGAGAGCUAGCUAUCGAUGGGAGAUGAGAUUGACGAGGCGGAUCGAGCUUUUAAAGCCGGCGAUCUUUCGGCGGGAGCACGCGCACACACGCACGUGCGAGCUUGCAUUAUAUUGUUUCGCGUGCUGGUAAUAAUUCGCACGCAUGGAGAAUUGGAGAUGAGUUGCCAGUUCGGGAAAGCCGUGUCGCUGUCAGGUGGCUAAAUUUGGUAAGUUAGGCUAGUUAGCUUAGCUUAGCUUAGCUAGCUAGGGAUUUGCUAGCUUCGAUCUGCAGAUUUCAUGAACAGGGCAUGAGGUGCACAUGGGCACGUGGCGAAUUGGAGGGGAGAUAUGCAUGUGUGUGCAGAAUUAUAAUUAGGCGCGUGCGGCGUGCCAGAAUUACUGGUGUGUUUAAUUUGCUUAUCCUCGUGGGGGUUUACAACUUGAGAUAUUCAACAAACUGGCUGGUGUCUGGUGAUCGUACGUCAGUGACAGCGAGAUUAAUUGAUGGCAUCUUAGAAUUAAUUAAUUGUUCGAGCGAUCCGCAUGAUGUAUAUAUGCUCGAUAUAUAUGUACUGUAUUAUCGUUCGGAGAGGAUGGAGGGAUUAGGGGUGGUGGAGGAGCCUAAUUUUUUACUAUCUCCGUUCCAAAAUAUAAGUAUUUUUAACUAUGAAUAUGGACAAUUGUGUGUCCAGAUUCUUAGCCAAAAAUUACUAUAUUUUGGGACGGAGGGAGUAGCAUAUAAAAUUUAAGGGUUUGGUAAAAUAUGAAGUGGGCUGAAUUUUUAUUCAUUUUACUUAAAAUUAUUUGAGUGCUAAUAUCUUCAUCUAUUACCACCCCUAGGAGGAUACACGCACAUUGACCUAUUUGGUAAUGUUGUCGAUUUAGGGGGUGUUUGGUUGCCGGUCACACUUGCCAUAUAGUUUGCCACGCCUAAGAUUAGGUAGGUUUGAUCACAUUAGUAACUGUUUGGUUGUAGUCACAGUUGUGGCAAAAUUCUUCUCUUAUAAAUUAGAUCCCACACGUCCUUAACUCGGGAAAGUGUGGCAAGAUUCUCUUAGGCUUGUUAGGUGUGGCCAAGAAUUUGAUUGCCUCAACUUAGGCAAGUGUGAUAAUAUUUAUUGGCAAAUGGUGGCAAAGUAUGGCUAGAAACCAAGCACACUCUUAUUGUCCUUUUUAGCCAUAACAUUUCAGUUAGGUAGUUUUUUUUUUGUUGACCGUGCAUUUCUAUUAGAGAAAUAUUUCUACGAUAUUGACAAGCGAUCGCCGAUCGACUGUAUAGACUGUCCUUGAUGAACAUAAGUUCUUUCAAAUCAUCAAAUGCCUUCAUGCACAAGCGCUUUUCUUUCUUUUCAUCAUGCAUCGUUAUCGUUUGACUUUAACCCAUGCAAAAUGUUCCCUUUACCACUAAAAAUAUGCAUUAAGUACACCCUAGGCUGAUAAUGAUCUUUUAAGGGUAAAAUAUAUAUUUUAUAUGAGGUUAAUCAAGGUCAACUAAUGGUUAUGACAAAAAGGAAGAAAAAAGCUUAUGCGAUAGCAUUUCGUAGAAUUUACGUUCGUUGAUGCUAAUUCAUAGAACCGAUAGUAAAACGUAAUCGAGCAGUAAAACCCAAUCCUUAGUUGUUCAGAUUCACUUUUAAAAUUGGACUUUAUCUAGAACAUAGGGAUACAAUUGGACUUUACUCAAUAUAACAACUUUUUUUUACAAAGGGACAAGUGUCCAAAUUUAUAGCUAAAAGUUGUUAUAUUUUGAGGUGGAGGUAGUGAUGGUCCAAAUUCACAGCUAAAAGUUGACGGGUUGAAUAAUUUUUUAUUUGACUAAUAAGCACCUAGAUGAUAAAACAAUUAGUCUAAAUUGAAUUAGUACAAUGUCAAUCGAACUUACUUAAGGGAGACGCAUACAAAUCGGACGUCCGAUUUUUUUUUAAAAAAAUCGGGCGAUGUUCCACCAAGUAGAUCGAAAUUGUUUCACUAAGUAAAUUGAAAAUAUUUCAAUCGUUUAAAAAGCUGAAACACAAUCAAAUCACCUCAUAAAACAUUUUGCUACAACGUAUAAAAUAACGGUUUUUGAAGCUGUUUCACCAUGUAUAAAAACAAUGUUUCAGCAAAUAGCGAAAUGAUGUUUUAAUUCACUGCAACAUUUGAUCUGUACAUACUUGCCAAAACAUUGUUAUAGAGCGUUUUCGUAAUAUGUGAAUGAUUUGCUGCAACGGCGCAUGUGGUGAGGCGUGCUGUUGGGACGGCGCGGCACCCGUCGAGCACUUGACGCGGGGCAUUUCAGUUACUUAAGAGAUGGCAUGUCGCAUUGUCGCCCCUCCUCUUGCCCAUCUUGAGCCAAUAAAAAACUUAGAAGGCGCACACAACAGACGUACGCUUGUCUACACACACAAUGAACAGAUAGAAAGACAUGGGGUUUCAUGUGCUCGGGGUACAAAUUAAGAUGAUGCAUCCCAUUGAUUACAUCAAUCACGCGCCCUCCUUUUUACACACGAAUGAUGUGGCUGAAUCGAAAGAUGCUUAAAACCUGGGACCAAUAGUACAACAAAUGACAACUUCAAGAGUAGGUAAUUAGUCAGGAUCUCUUCAAACGGUCCAGCUUAAAACAGGUUAUUGAGCAGAUUGUUAUAGAAAACUUAAUAAAUAGUUUAAAACAAAUAGUCGGAGUAAUCCAAUUGAAUUAUUUCAUUUUAGAAAAGAAAGUAUAGUUUUCAAAGUGCAGUGCAAAUUAUCCAUUUCAAUAAUCCGUUGGUGAGUCACAUGCACCCAGCAGCGAGCAAGCGCAGAGGAAGACGGAAAUAAAAAUGUUUCAAGUAUAUCAGUGAGCUUCUGGUCCUGGACAUCUGUGCCGAACAUCAUCAAAUUAUUUUUACCAAACUGGCCACAUUCAUGCAUAACGAUCGACAUCUGGGAACAAAGAAUUCAGGGGGGGGGGGGGGGGGGGCAUAAUGCACCUUCAUACUUAAAGAACUGCAUACUUCCAUCCUCAGAAAAUUGCGAGAACAACUGAUCAAGUAUACAAUUUACCACUCAUCUCUAGAUCACAAUGAAUGUAGCACUAUGGUGAACACAGAAUUGCCAGCUAGCUAAUACAUACGGACAAAUUAAUUCUCUGUUUGGGGGGCAAAUUAAUGGCAGCGCCUCUCCACUAAAACAACAGAAAUGGUAUGCUACACUACUGCAAAAUUGCUAAUUUUGGAUGUCAGGUUAGUUCCUAUCAAGUGAUCGAGACAAUCAUGCUUAGCCUGAAAAUCAGAUAGCUAGGGAUCUCUUCUUACGCGUGUUAGUUUUACUAUUGUCAGAUAUGUUGCUCAUGGAUCAUAAUCAGUAGAGCAGCUCGAGAAUCCUUAUUCCAGAUAUUUGCUCCGCUUUAUGUACAUGAUGUGAAAAAGAAUCUUGAUUUUUUUUUCUGCUAAUAACCUGCAGCAAGUUUCAAACAAACUAACCAGUCAGUACAAUUGGUGAGAAUUCUGUCGUAGUUUAAUCAAUGCUAACAAUUCACAGUCCAAAGAAAUGAACUUGGCAGAGCUUUCUUUGAAAGAAAAAUUUAACUUGGCAGUUUAAGUUUGAAAUAACCUGACAAAGAAAUUUUGGAACUGGUAGAUGAUCUAUCAUCACUACUAAAGUUCAAAGAACCAAACUUCACAUGUGCUUUUUUUAGUUCACUAGCAAAUACUCACCCCAUUCAGAGAUAUGUGGCAUUUCAGAAAACAUGUUACCAGACUUCCCUAGCAAAGACUACGGGAGCAUAAAAACAGAGAUGCCAAUAUUAGAUUUGUCAUGACAAAUCUGCUUAUACUGAGUUUUAGUUUUUAACCUUUUCAUUACAUAUAUAAUAAAGUUGAUAGUCAAAAUUGUGUGGUGAGACAAUGACAAUGAUCAAUGCAUCAUAGAUUCAAGAUUACAAAGUAACAUCUGGCCUCUAUAUCCAUGAUGUGCACGGUCCAUCCUGGCGUAGCUAAAGGUAACUAACUACAAUCUUAAUAUGUUUCCAGUGAACAAGGAGUCUAAACACUUUUUUCGUGUGCCUUAUAAGCUGUUCUAGUAAGCGAGACAACUCAAGAUGCAUGUUCUUUUGAGGUUCUACAAGAAAUUCAAGCAAAUAAAAUAAUGAAACUAUAAUAAAAAAGGGAACAUGGUGUAAAAUCUGUGAUGUUUCCUUAAUGGAAAAUGUGGGGGGUGUGGGCUCUCCCUCUUAAAAAAGAGGGUGUAAAAAGUGCAUCACACUAAAGUAAGGACGUAUGAAAAUUCCCUUGAAAUGACAAGCAUGAGAAAGGAACUCAACUAAAAAACUUUUUGACUUACGCUUGAAGUUAAAGCUAGGUAGUUUUUGUCAAUUUCUUGUAGCUAUAAAUUAACUACGGAUUAACUAGCAGUGGGAGGCUUUAUCCUUGUCCGUGGCAUGCUCUUCCUUCUAAGCAGAGGAGAUUCCAUUGAAAACACAAGCAAGCUACCAUCCUUGGUUCCUGCUAGGAUGCACUCUUCAGGGGUCACAGAUAAAGAAGUAAUGGUCUUCCCAGCUCCAUCAUACCUCCGGAUAAUGUCAAGACAAUGCAUAGAAUGCAGAACUAUUUGACCAUGCUCACCAGCACAAACCAAGAACUGUCCACAACAACUAAGUUCCAUGCAAUUGAUGCGUCCACCGGAUGCUGAAGAAGCAAUAUGUUUUCCAUUGAUGGAAUACAUGUGCAAGGAAAGGUCACUCUCAGAAUAAAAUACUACCCUUCCAUGCUGCGACGCCACCAAUUUUGACAAACCAAUGCCCGAAGGAUGCCGAAUGGAUCGAACAUAUCUUCCUUCACGCAGUGUAUGAAAUAUACAAGUUCCAUCUUUUGAACCACUGAUGACAAUAUCCAGUUCUGUGCUAACAAAUAAGCAUGUUAUGAUGUCAUCAUGACCACAAAAGAUAUGAACCGGCCUUUCCAUUACAACAUGAUCACUUGGUCUGCCACGAAAUGCAUGCCAGAUCAUAACAGUUGUGUCAUAACUUCCAGUUGCAACCACAUUUCCACGAGAUGAAACUGCAGCACAAACAUGUGUGUUGUUGCAUAUGUUACAAAAUAGGGAAAAUAAGGGCAAGGACUUCAUAGGUUGAACCAAUAUGUCAUAAGGGAGAUCACCAUGCAAAUGUAAGCAACAUAUGGAGGACAGAAAGAAACAUCAAACAAACCUAAAAAGCAGUAGAAAUGUCUAGAAACUGUUAUACUUAUAUAACAUCACAUGAUUAUCUAUAUAAAUAAACUUGUUGAUCCCAGUCAUUAUCCAAUUUUUAUUUCCAAAAAUUAUAGUUAUUACCCAAAUAGCUAUAGGCAAACCGGGGAUAUGUAAUUGUCAAUAGACUACAUUCUUUAAGUUUUUUUACAUUUCUUGGGGAGGUAUCAAGAGGUAUAAGUACCUCCUAGUGUCAAUUAAAGAAGGUAGGAUUCCUCUUGAUAAUUCUAAUUAACACCUUUUGAGAGACUUUCCCAGGACUUAAAAAUCCCACAUUCUACCAGAUGUUUCUCUCCAUUGCUAUAUAUAUAUAUAAUAUAUGUGACCUCGGACACUUUGCACAUUCGAGAACAAGAUCGGAUGAGAUGGAUGAACUAUGGCUUGUUUUGAGGGACCUAUGCCUGAUAUUUAUGAAUCCACAUGGGCCUAAAUUUUAUGGAUUUGCAACCUCUUUGUAGAACUUGUUCACAUAACAGAUGAGGAUUUUUGUUAUAUUCUAACAUAUAAUAUAAUUCAUCAAAUCUGGAUUUUUCAAAAGAAAAUGAAUAGAAUAAAAAAUGUAUCUGGUACCUGCAACACAGGCAACAACAUCCUUAUGCUGCCUGAUGCUCUGAACAAUUCUUCCAUCACUAAGAGAAAUAAUCUGGAAACUGUUCUCCCAAUUUCCACAUAAAAUCAAAUACUUAUCACUAUUAAUUUGCAUGGUUGCUAAGCACUGUCUUCCAAAAUUAACAUUUUCAGCCAGGAAAGUGCCAAUUUUGCGGGGAGAAAUAACAUCUGAGCCAAUUCCAAAGAAAUGAUCCUACAAAAAGAAAAGGAAAGAAUGCAAUCAACAAAAGUAUAUACUAGUAUACAAUUUUUGUUUGAUGACGUAGGUAGUCAGGAAGAACCUGUGGUCCUGAAAAUGUAAAAUUUCCACCAGAUUGCAACUGUGUUGUCAACCACAGCUUUAUUGACAGUAUGAGUCCUUCAUUCAUCAGUAUAACUGUAUUGUCCAACAAGCCAAUGAAUAACAAAGCAGACAUGUGGCUGAUUGUACUAGAAACACUUGAAGUCAAUGCAAUUGACUGUGGUGCAAAAUACAGAGGGUGAGCUAUUGGGACAGGAGGCCCUCUUCUUGGAUGUUUCACCCGGAAAAUCUGGAUUGGUGUCUGUCCAAAAUUUGCAAUCUGAUCCUCGAUAGCAGAUUUCUGCAACAAGUCAUCCAUAUUUUCUAGAUCAACUGCGCCUUCAUAUGUAACGUAGUAAAAUAUGUUUGCUGCCUGCCCAAAAAAUAUUUAUGUGUUAAAGUAUAUUCAGUAAUAUUCCAUUGUAUUAUUAGAGAUACCGAAAGUGACCUAAUUGCACCUCAACAGCAGGUUGUCCACGCUGCUUGUAACCAAAUAUGAGGUCAAUCCAGUGAUGGAGAUUAGAGCUCACAUAUUCACUUUCAAGAGCUUCUCGGUUGAUAUGAAUGAAUUCUUCUGGAGAGCCCUACAUCCUUGUAUUAAUUAAUUGGAUAUGUAUAGGCAAGAUAGCAGUCUUCUGUUUACAGAACUAACAAGUAUUCUAAAUAGAGUCGUAUCAACUUGCACUGGCAUAAUUAUGAAAUUUUAGCUCCUUGAGACAUUACUAAUUGAUAGAAUCAACAGACAUCCCAACUCAAAAUUCAAAAAGAAGUUGAGAGAGACAUAUGACAGAUUUUGCAUGAAGAAAUAUCUUUUAUAUUGAGAGAGCUAUUAUAUUUAUACCACAUCACACAAUUGUCAAAUUCUGUAUAUAUGAUAAACAAUAAUGUUAAUGUGAAUAACAUGUUAACACCACAAUUCACAAGAACGUAAAUAACAUGAAGUCAGUAGUAUAUUCACCAGUGUUUAGAGGAACCAAACUAAUUGACAUUAUUUUACCUGAAAAACUAAUGUCAUUACAGAUUGGAAUCACAACAAAUCUAUCCUACUGUGCAUGUAACUCACAGUCGAGACACCAAGUGCAGCAACCACAUAGGUAUCUAUCAAAGAAAAACUAUUCAAUUACCUUUGCCCAAGGAGGGAGAACAACGUCACCUAAAGGUUCACCAUCCUGCCUAACACCAAGAUGAUACGAAUUUGAAUUUUCAAGAAACUCAGGCAUGUAAAAAAAUUCAGGAAUAAGCUCUUUGACAUCACUUGUAUUUGACAAGCUGUUUUUGUAAGCACUAUCGAUGCUCUGGAAGAGGCGAUCUGCAUGGUCAAACUUGCCACCCUGUAUAGUGUCAUCCAUAAAAGUGAACAAGAUAAAAAAAAUAUUAAUGUUGUUUUUAAUGAAAUAUAGCAUGAAAAAAGCUGUGUAAAAAAUGGAUAGCACUUUGAUAACAAGAGGGUAAUAUGUUUGCCAUUAUAAAAAGGUAAAAUCAAAUCAGCAACCUGGAGGCUACGAUGCAGAGUUGUAAAAGGCUCAAGCCUGAGAAGGUAAUGAAGAACAAUUCCCAUGGUGGAGUAGUGAGAUCCAUAAUAAAAACUGCAGGAAUAAAUUAGUCAUUUUGUCAACUAACUCAAAUAACAAAAAAUAAAGGACAGAAAAAUUAAAGAAAUGGAUCAAAUUUAGAUUCAAGGUCCAACCUUGGUAUAUCUGGGUCAUCGAAAUUAACAUAUCUAUCUUCAAAAACCUGCCCAAUAACAUAUUGCUUACAUAAAAGAUACAUAAGGGAUGUCAAUUAGACAAUUACUAAUAUAUAAACAUGCAAUCAUCAGUUCCACACCUCAAAGCGUUUUUCAUCCAAAGCACCAAUUGGCUUUGAAAGAUCCCUAAAUGUAGAGGACUUGUUAAAAUCAAGCUUUUCUGAUGUAUAAUCAGUCAGUACCCAUGGAAAUACAGGAUACUGAGUUAAAUCGUUGUAAGACCGUCCAGCAAGAGUGUUAAGAAUCAUCAGAUACUCAAAGUUACUGAUUUCCCUCUUGAUCCAUCUGUCCCUAGCAUUCUCAGCCAUUUCAAGUGCAACUCGUCUGUCAACAAAUGAAAUGACUCUACUUUUGCCUUUGGUACUUCCUUUAGGGAACAAGGCUUCAUUCCUGAGGGAAACUAGGAGAGACCCUGCAUUUUUAGCAUCCUUUUGCGAUGAGAAGUUUAAAAAUAUGGGUGCAUUUGAAUCGUCAAAGAAUAUCUCCGUUGCAGUAUAUUGUAGCAGGUAGCGCGUCCAAUGAACUGCUUUUAUCUGAAACAUGUAAGGUAAGAUAUGAAGAUAGUGAGCAAGCAAAAGGGGCAGAGAGAGGAAAGGCAUACCUUGGUUAUGUUCCACCUUCUGUGAUGUUUAAUUUUGUUAGAUUGUUUUUGCAUCAAGACACCAUUCGGAGUUUUGAUCACAUAGUCUCGGCCUCCAUCAAGUCUUUCCACACUUCCUAGAUCACUCUUGCAAUCGGAAUCCUCUAUCUCUUUAAACUUGCUGAAUACAGAUGAUCCUCCAGUUCCUUCAACCAAAAAUUCAAAAGAAAAAUGUAGAACGGUCCGAGUAAUAUCCAAUUGUCCUGCUAGUUUUCUCUUUGGGGUUAUAAGCACACAAUGAACUGAACAUAGCACCUGAAAAAUGGAUGAUGGACCAAAAUCAACAUUUAUUUGCUAAGUUCAGGUGGAUUUCAGACAAAAUCCUUUUUACCUUGGUAUAAUCGUUAUCUCCAUUAUUAGAUGCUGAUUCUUUCUUAUUCUGAACGGCAGUGCGAUAAUCUGAUAAAUCUGAGACAUUAUUUGGGUUUUGGUUCUCUAACAGACUACUCUGGGAAGAUUCACCUGUAUCAUUGGUGUCUUCAAUUGGUUCGUAUGCAUUGUCUUCAAAGAUUGCUCGCACACCUUUCAGAAGGAAACGCUUCAGUUUCAAGGGAACUUUGGUACUUAAAGAACUUUGAUCAACACAAGCCUCUGUACUUUCAUUCCUAGAAUAUGAAGGUUGACAGAGGCGUUCAUCAAACUUGUAGUUGCGCUUUAGCUUGAGUCGUCUCCGCCAUUUAUCCUCAGUCUUGUCAAGUUUCCAGUGAGUUACAACAUCAUUUGGAAAAGGGUUAGCAGACCAUGGUCCCCUCUCAUCAAUCAAAGCUCGGGAAAUAUGUAUCCACUUAUCCUGAUAAGAAAAGAAAGUAAUUAGGUGCUCCUAAACAAAACAUUAAUUGGCAAACUAAUGGAGAAUCUUACUGCAACAAUUUGCUGAUCCUCAUCAAAAGCAAGCCGAAAAGCUAUUUUUCUUUUGUCAUCUGCAGAAAGAGCAGAAGUGAUCGAAAUAUGUAUGUUAUCUUCAAUCAUCUUCUCCAGUUGUGUCUCUUCGGUGAAGUGCUCAUUGAGCUUAGAUUGAAGUUCGUCCAACUGACUUAAGCGAUCAGCCUGAACUGCCUUCAUGUGCUUAACCUCAACAGUGGCCUGAACAGCAAUGAAAGAUCAGAUGUUCAAUAACACAAAAGAAAGGGGAAAAGGUAGGUAUGAUCAAAACCAUCUACCAAAGAUACAAAAAACUUGAAACACAUCCCACUCAAUAGUGUAGAAAAUUUGUAAGUCAACGCCAAAGCUAAAGGACAAAGGCACAGACCGCAGCAAGUACACGGUCCUUCUGUACAAAAUUAAGAAUGAACCCGGUGUCUUUAUUACUGUUGCCGAUUUCCAUAGAAUCAUCUCUGCCCAAUAUAUUAGGAACAAGCAUGGAUUUUCCACAUAUGAUAGUUUCAAGGAUCAAGUGUGAUAAAACAUGGUAACGUGCGCCAUCAUCAAGUUGCCCAUACUGAGAUCUUGUAAUGAGUAAAGACCUGUAUCAAGAAAGGGAUUAAGAAAAUGCUUUAAGCAUACUUAGAACAAAGCUUCCAGUAUUAAGCAUACCAUAUUAAGAAGUGCAGCUUGUUUUUGCUUUGCUCAUCUUCUGAAAUAAGAACAGGAAGCAGUGACAUGAACUGCAGAACACACUUAGAUGCAUUUUCUAAUCCAGCUUUGCAGAGAUACAGAAUUACAAGGUGAAAGAAAACCCUUGGGAAUAUCUCUUCCCUCAACAAUGUAGCUUUUUCAGAAAAUCUAUUUAUUUUUGCACCUAAUGCAGUACCAAUACCUCCAGAAACAACAGCAGCAGCCAUUUCUGUAGCAGGGACAUUUAGAGAUUCCACCAAUCCACGUGCUCUUUGCCCCAACGAUGGGACUUCAAUAUUUGGACCCUUUGGUAGCAAUUUGUUUGGUCCUUUUCCAUUCAAAUUACAAAUGAGAUCCCAAACCUUGUCAAAGAAGUUCCACCAAUCCUCACUUUUUUCAUCCUCGUCAGCAAAUUGGCAAGAUUUCCAAGGAAAACUGGAAAAAUUGACAGACUUAUUAAGGGUUGAUUGAACCUUGUGAAGCAUAGCAACUAAACAGUUAGCUUCAGGUCAUUAUAAACAGUGUCAGUAUCAAAUUGUUUGACUAUCACUACAAAUGACCUACCUAUGCAUUUACUUAACAUUUCAAGAUUCUAGUGCGCCAUGUUAAUGAAGGAUAGAUCUUACUCCCUCCAUUCCAAAAUAUAAGUAUAGGAUUUUGAACUAUAAAAUGCCUCUUUUUCACAAAUAUCAUGGAUUUGAGGGUUCAAUUUUAUCCACAAAUGUAGAAUUUUGAGUACUACUUGUCCCAUCCAACUACCCUUCAUUUAAUUUUAACCCCAUCUUACCCCUACCUACCCUCCCACUCCCCAGCUAUCCCUCAUUUAUUGAGGGGCAUUAUAGUCUUUUACAGUUUUACUCCUUACUUUAAUCUCUUCAAAAGAGCCAAAAAUCCCUAUAUUUGUGGACGGAGGGAGUACACUCUAGUGACAACAUAUUUGGUUUUGCAUCAAUUGAUAAGAACAAGUACUGGGGAUUCAACACACCUGGCUGAAUGCAAUGGCUGUUGAGUAAGGCCAGCCAAACCAUAAAUAUUCGUAACAGUUAACUAACAGUUCAAAUGUAGAUUUAAUAUCUUUUUUCCAUUUGCCACCUAAUAAAUAUUCGUAAGGCAAGUUUUUAAGAAGAGAAGAUUCUGAAAAGGGACAUAUAGUUACAAAUAUUUGAGCAUAUAGUUGAUAAGGCACAUAUUUUUCAGGAAACAAAGAGAAAAAUUAGUACCUUUUAUAUUGGCUAUGGCUUUCAUCAAUUAAAAUUUCAUUUAGUGUAGACUUAAUAUCAUCUUUCCAUUUAAUACUGGAUAAAGAUUCCUCUGAAGGAUUAGAUGGAAACUGUGAAAGGAGGAAAAGAAACAGAUGUCACAUGAUAGAUAAAAAAAAUAUUUUUCAGUUCAAAACAAAGGAUUGUACCAAGAGCUUGAUUCCUAUUUGAUUGAAAAGCAACUCCUGGAUAAGCUUCAAAAGAUACAAGACAUUAUCACAGCAUGGCUGUGAAAGGAUAAUAUUUUCUUCUGAAGAUGUCUGUAGCAGGCUCCCAACAAUGUCAUCAAGUAUGUCCCGCAGUAAAUAGGAACUUGAUAGUUGUCCCUGCAGAUUCAUGAAUCUCAGUAAUGUCAUCAGAAUAAAAGGAAACAUACUUCCAAGUUGGUCAUAUAGAGAAAGAGAAAGAGAGAAAGCAAACAAACGAACUAUUAUCCAACCUGGCCAAAUUUUAAAAGAAAAUAGUUAACUGUAUCUUCAAGCUGAUGCCAGCCACCUUUUACAGCACUCAGGUAGUAUGCAAGGACCAAUGCAUACAAUUUCCUCACAAGAAUUACUUCAUCAAUCUCCACAUUGUCAAGCUCACCUUUAGAAACUAAACUGUACUCCUUCAAUACAUCAAGCUUUGUGGAUGUCUCAAGCCAAUAGUUCCAACUGUGCUCCUGAUAAAAUCUAUUCAGGAUUAGUUCAAAACAAGUAAUUUACAUAUACCAAAGGAGAAAAAAAAUACCAUUAAAGCCUCAAUGUUUGUAGGGUUUGAAUCUAGCAAACCAAUAAGUUCACUUAAGAUUCUUAUACGCGCUGAAGAAUCUUGACAAGAUUGCAAAUAUCUAAAAAUGCAGACCAAGAUCUGAGGAAGGAAGAAAGGAACCAAGUGGGAAGUGCUGCAACUCUUAUUUUUGGACUGUUCAGACUGGGAAUAUUCCUGUAAGACCUAUACAGAGAAAACGGCUUACCACUGAGGUGAAACGGUAGUAAGAAGGAAGAAAUGAAAUAUUAAUAUGACAUGAAGUUGGCAAUAUAACCUUGAUUGGACUGGUUCCACCAAGAAGGACAUUGAAAAAAGCUGCACAUAAAUUAUAUGAAAGUGGAAAUUUAAACAGCCUUUCAGAUAUUGUAUAGAAAAAUAGAUGAGAUGCUGCUGUUAUUUCAUUUUUUGAGUUAUCAGACAAGGGUCUAGAUUGCCCAAUGGGUAAUGUAAAUAAUUUUGCUCCUUUCUUCUCAGAUGGAAUACCAGCCAUAAGCUUUCCAACAAGCUGAAGUCCCAACAAUCUAACUGGCUCGGAUUCCCUGAAAAACAAACUAAGGUUGGAUAUAUACCAAAAGCUCACAACUCACAACAUACAUUACGCAAGACGACACAUGGAAGAAAUUAUACGUUCUGAAAGUCAUGAACUCUGGUAAUAAUAUGAAAAAAAAUAGGUCCUUGUAAAAACAAAACAUUAAACAUUUAGAUGAAUCUCUGUUUUACAAUAGCAAUAUGCAAAAGUGGGAGUACCAACGAAUAUAUUUUAAAUUCAAAGUAGUGGAAACUUUUUAGCAUAUAUCAUAGAUAUUAUUAUUUAACUAAUGGACAAACAGUAUCUAAACAUAACCUCAGUGCUUAAAUGUCAAUACAGACAGGAGGAACAGCAAAGCGCUAUCUCGGCACUCACUAAAAACCAAAAAAAAAAAACUGUGUUCGAGUCAAAAGAGAACAGCAGCUAUGGAAAUUUUGUGUUUUUUUGCAUGUAAACAGCUAGUACUUUUAGAUCUAACAAGCAAUUUGGAAAGAAAAGCAACUUAAUUUCUAACCAUGGUUAAGUACAAUUUCAUCUGCCCCGCAAAAAAAAAAAAGUACAAUUUCAUCUGAACAUCAAAAUUUUACAGAACAAAUGUACUGUCAGCAUGAUAUGUGAAACAGAGAUGAAUUGUAAACAAUAAAAGUAUGUUACCUCUUAAGAAGAUUGAUGAAAAUGCAGCAGCCACCAAGGCAAUUUACGUGCUCCAAGAAAGAUGAUAAAACUGGGCCCUCUGAAAGAGCACGAAUGAUCAUUUUCAGUAUGUCCUCAACGCAUGCUACAUCUUGAUUCCUCUCAAAAAGGGAAGCAAGGGCUCUUAUAUCAGCUAGACAAACUUGUAACCUGUGAACCAAUUUGUGUAUGAGCUAAGCCAAAAAAAGCUACAAGAUUGGUACCAGCUUACUGUAUCUUAUUACUGUUUUGACACAUCUAUGAAAGAAAACUAAGAUGAAGGGGGUAAAUGAAGAGGAAUAAAAAAAUAACUGGAGUGUGGAUGUGCUUACUUUAAGCUCAUUUCUGCUAAACUCAGAAGGAGAAGCCGAAGCUUGCAGAUUUCCUCUAUCUUAGGUCUAUCUCCAACAACUUGCUUGUUACCUGUUCGCAACAAAGACUUGGAACCAACAGCACACCUACAAUCUACAUACUCCGAGUAAUAUUGGCACACAAUGUCAAUGAUCCUAGGAAGUCCGCAAAGCAGUGGUAAAAACCUUCCAUCAGUUUCAAAAUAUUUUAGCAAAAACAUAUAAAGAUCUCUCUGCACUUCAUAGCUUGAGUGUACCCAUAUUUGUGGAUUCAAAUAAAUUUGUAAAAUAGCAUCUUUCAGCAGAACUUUUGACAUGCCUGAAUAAAUGAGAAAAACAAUAAUGUCAAGAUGUCUAUUUCGAUCAGUCAGAUAGUCACGAGAGAGAGAGAGAGAGAGAGAGAGAGAGAGAGAUUACCGCAGUUCCUUAGAACAUCAAACAUAUACUUCAGUGCAGAAAGUGUUUCAAUAUUUAACAGCUUAGGUGUAGCAGACUGAAGCAAGAAGCCCAUAAUAGAUAAUCCAGAAAGAAGAUACAUCUGUUGUUGAUUCGAUACAUUUGCAUCCAGGACAGAUGCGACAAGCUCAAUGACCUCAGCUCGCAACUUGCCAUUGAUGACAGAUGUAUGACAAGAUUGCUCACCAUCAGUUACAGCAUUGCAACUGAAGAGAGGAAAAAAUACAGAGACACCACCAACACAAUAAAUAAUAUCCUGCGGCAAGUGUCGCGAGCAUAACUUUGUUCCACCCAUGAUUGUUGCUUCAAAUGUACUUCUGUCAGCACUAUCUAGUGCAGAAGAGACACUGAAUAGACUCCUACUGUCACUGGCCUGGGAAGAUAGGGGAAAUAAAAAAAAAUCUAUUAGAAAAUAAAUAUUCUGUUAGUCAAUCUGACUCUUAAGGUAACACUCAGGCCCAAAAUUCAUUCUCAAUCUUGUCCCUGGAGCCUUCAAGGGGCACACUACAGAUACAUAUAAAAAUCACUGGGCAUUUUGUUAUCACUUUGGAAUCAACCCAAAGCAGCUAUGCUUGGUUUCAUUGGGCUUAUGUGCUGUCCAAACUCUCUUGAACUCUGAAUGUUGGACUAAUCCCAUCCCACCACUAUAUAUUAAACCCAUGGGCUACUACUAGCUGGGCUGGAGUGUUACACUUGAUGAAGUAAAUAUAGUAUCAUACUUAUUAGUAAAGAGAAAUGGAACCUGCGCGUUGAAACCAAAAAUGAUCUUUGAUGAAAUUCCAUCUCUUGCAUCUAGAAUCCCCCUGUAUAGUGAAUCAUCACCAUGGAAAGAGUACAUAUAACUUGGUCCUAGAUUAUAUAUGCCUUUUAUUUGUUCUGAAGAGAGAGCAUCGGAAAACACAUAAAUUGGGCCCAUUUGACCAGUAAAGGCAAAGGUUCUCUCAUAACCAAUUGAAAUAGGUUGUUCACCAACAGGCAUCAAUUUUGUACCGAUAGUGCAGUGAGUCAUUGCCUCGUUCAUUUUUGGGUAACUGAAAAAACAGCAACAGAAACUGUAAGUUUUUAUUUUACAUGUAAAUUGUUUUGACUAAAAGCUAACAUGAUACUUAGGAGACGAUACUUUAGUGGUUACGUUUAGUACCAGUUACGUGCUCAAAAAAUUGUGCAAACUAAGGUCCUUCAUUUUCAACAAUGAAUGUAAAAAGUACUCUCUUAUCAAUGUGGCAAUCAUUGAUCUGGUUCCAACUUACAAAUUUGACCAUUAUUCCACUAAUGUCAAGAAAAGUUAUUAAAAUUUGAUAUUGUGCAAGCAGUUUUUCAAGUUCAAAAAGUUUGACUGGAUGCAUUCUGAGACAACAUUUUAUUGGUAAAUGGAUAGGGUAACAAAGAGGUGUACCAUGAAUGUUGCGAAAUUUGUGAAUUAUGAAUAUCAACAAAUCAAAUAACUUACAAACAAAAGAUUUUAUACAUUUUGGAACUUUAAGAAACAAAUUGGAUCUAUAAUGACAAAUGUAUGAUUAUGAUUCCAUUUAGCACUGGUGUUGCUGUGCUGUGUUGCAUAAACAAAUAAAGUACAAGAAAUAGCUCAGCAAAAUAAACUUGACGAGUCCUUAUUCCAAACAACCAUAUUACAGAAGCACUUUGUGAAUCAAACUUAUUUCUGACACAUUUUACUCCCAAACAGAAUCUGCAAAAUUUUCGGCCUAAGUUAACAUUACUGGGAAAUAUGAAUGCAAAAGGAUUUGCUCACCUACACUUCUCGGAUGAUACUAGAUUCCCAUCCACAUAACACCUCAGGUGGCUUCCUCCAGAGAAAGCCCUCCCAAUUGUAUGAGUAACAAAAAGGAAUAUCCAUUCCUUUGAUGGGAGUUUUAGUGGCAACAAAACACACUCACGUUUUUGAUUGAUAGACUGUCAAAACAGACAAAGAAAAGAGUUUUUCAUACAAAUGUUAACUGCAGCAAAAGUGAUAAAUUUUACAGAGUAAGGUAUUUGCAGCUCCAAUGGAGAAAAAAGCAUAAAGUACUUCAAGAUCUGUAGAGCAUGCUCCAGAUUUGGAUCAAACAGCUAGAUGAUUUCCAAACCCAUUUUAUUACAGAACUGGGUAUCCUACAGUCAACAUUUGGGAAAUGACGAACAAAUGGAAAGUCCGUGUUGAGGCCUAAAAUGGCAUAUGUAAAGGAGCAAGAGUGAAUUUGCACACUGAAAAUACAUAUUUCCCAAUAAAACACACAAAUCAGUACACCCUUCACACCUCGCCUCAGAACUUGUAAUGCCGGAUAAUGUACUCAUUAAGGCUGUUUCCAGAGGUAGUUCUGCCAUUGUAAAGAGUGGCAUAAUCUAGUUUUGCAACACUUGACCAUAAUGGAGAGCAAACAGAAACCAAAAAAAAAAUCAUGUGUCCAUCCAAAUUUAUGAAUUACUACCUCUGUCCCGGAAUAUGAGAACUUUGGGGGUUGGACACGGCUAUUAAGGAAGUAGGUGAUGGGGAAAAGUUGCAAAUGGUUGAGAAGAUAAUGUAGGUGGACUGGUGGAGAAAUUAAAUGGCGGAAGGUUGUGAUUGGUUGAGAAGAGAAUGUAGGUGGAGAAGUUGCUAUAUUUUGGGACAAAUUUUGAAUGCUAGAAAUUGCUAUUUUGAAUAAGUAAGAAAACCACCAUUACCUCAUAUACUAGAGCACUUUUGCUAAGCACGGCUGAGCACCCCUUUCCAUCUUCUGUGAAAAAAGAGAAGAGGCCCAUCAUACCAUUUUCUGGGAAGUUUUCUACCCUUAACCAGCAGGAAAAGGAUAGCCCUCUAUUAUAAGGCCAUUGAAAUGGUGAUUUAAUUUCUAUACCCUUCAAUGAUUAAGAAAGAAUGUCAGUCAAUCAGAACAUCAAAUACUGGCAACAAAGUAAUGGAUGUUAUUUGAGACAUAAAACAGAGUACAUUCAAAAGGCAUGUGAAUGAAAACAAACAAAAUGAUAUUGUUGGUAUUUGGCAGAUCAUUGUCAAAAGCAACAAGUGUCACUUUUAUUACCUCUAAAUUUUUCAAGUAGAAAAAGGAAGAAAAAUCAGAAAACGCAUGCCUAGAAACCUAAAAAAUAAAACAUGAACGCAUUUGGAAAACCAUAAUUUUGAAAAGUAAAAAGAUCAACACUUUUGCCGGAGAACACUGUCUUGUAUAAAAAAGGUAAGCCUCGGAUUACAGAAAAGGUCUAGCAGCCUAGAUUGCAAAGAUCAACCCCCUAAAAUCCUACAAUAAGACAUUUAACUAUUUGCCACUUUUAAGAUGUGGCAUUUAACAAUUUGCCACUCAUAGUCUAUGGCAUGUGGGCCCUCUCUAUGACAUGUGGGUCCAGUGGCAAAUCGUUAAAUGCCACAUUUAAGAGUGGCAAAGAGUUAAAUAUCUUGGGGGUGUCCUUUUAAAUGCCCACCAUGUUUUUUUUCCUAUUUUUUAGCAAUCACAUACCUAAAUUUUUCAUAGUGAUAUCGCCUCACAUAUGAAUCCUUUUGUAGCGUUCAAAGUACUCCUAAUUUUGACCCAUACCAACACUAAAAUGCUCUAAAGUUAGUUCUUAAUAUCACGUAGAUAUCUAUGAGUAUUUAAAUUACUCAUCACAACUAAGGAAAAUUUAAAUUGACAAGUAAAUAUGGCAGGACGCACAGAAUCAUGACCAUCGAACUCAAAGAAAGCUUCUGGUCCCUUUUCCUUAAGCAUGUGACUGAGACAUGUCAAAAGCAAAGAACUAUGCUUCUUCUUGGCAACAAUCUUCCCACAACGUAAGAGUGCAAAUAUUUUCCGAAUGUCCUUGCCACUAAUACUGUGUGCACCAAUUAUCUGAAUUAAGUCUGCAAUUUGACCAACAGUAUCAUCCCUUUCCUCUACUGAGAACCAAUCAAGAAGAUAACUAAGCAGUCCUGCUCUGAAACAAGAAGUUCUAUUUGCAAUGGAUUGCUUGAGCAACUGCUGCAAAACAACAAGCCCAUAAUGCUGAAGUGAUGUGCUGCUCUGCCAAUCAGAAAUUGUGGAUGUUACAAAAAGGCAAAAGAAAUAUAACUGGAAAUUAUCAGUGGAUCAUAAUCAUAUAUGCAUGCCUGAUAUAGAGAAAAGGAGCAUACCUUUUGUAGAAUAUUCAAAACUAAUAUAACCACAUCUUCAUUCUGAAGGAAUAAAUCAAAGAAAUGUUUGUGAGAAUAAUUAAAAAUAGAUGACUGAAGUAAAUGGACCCAGAAAUGAUAGCAGCAUGUUAAUUGGUUCUAAGAUAUGAAAGUUACUAGCCUUUAUUGUUGUUAUCUCAUUUAUCUCAAAUUUCCCAUCAACCAGCAUGCUAAGCAAUGCAUGUAAGAGUCUCUCGCUUGGGCUUGGCAACCAUUUGUAGAAAUCCAGUAGCAAGCUCUGCAGUGUUUGAUAACCCACACCAACUAGCAUUCUAAAGGAAGCCUAAAAAAGACAAAUCAGAGUUAUUGUUAGCACAUCAGAUGGGAUAAUUGCAUGAAUCGCAUACAUCAAUAUGAUUACCUUGGAUGCAUCAUUUCCUUCAAGUAAUAAGGUCAAUGUCUCAAGAACAUUAAGAACUAACUGCUCACCAGUUGCCUCAUUGAAUGUUCCAUUCAACAAAGAGACAAUAUACAGAAAGCACCCUCCAUCGCGAAAUAGAUUUUGAUAGUACUAACAAAAAUGAGUACAUUUGUCAACAUAUUGUCAUUGAUGGUAUUAAGCAAACACUAUUGACAUUUUCAACUAUUAUAUGCAAAGGCGUAUACUGAUACGUACCAUGCGAUCCAUCAUAAUGAUCUCUCUCAUGUUGACCAGUAGAUCAACCAACAAUUCUGAGUUAACCUUUUCUUUUUCAUUUGCUCGUGUGAAAUUCUCUAAAUAUUUGGAGCAUAGCUGUAACUUUGCUGCAUGAUCUUGUUUUGAUGAUGGAGGUAACUGGUUAAAGUAAACUGUAAGAGUGUUGUAGUUCCAAACGUUAACAAGAUCAAAAGAGAAAAUUUGGAAUAUGCACAAUUUUACCCUGAAUAAAGCAAAAAUUUGCUCCAGUACAUGCUUGCGGAAGUUCUUUUCUUGGAAUAAGUUGAAUAAACACUCAAUACAGUCAGGAUUGUGCAAAAUUAGAAUUCUUCCAUAGCUAGAUAUGGUGACAUAUUCCUUGAAGAGGCUCAAAGCUAACUCUAUACAAAUAAUAGCAUACUCAGUUCUCUUUCCUGACGAACUCAUUUCAAUAUUUUCUAUCUUAGAACCAUAUCCACUGCUGAUAACAUCAUCACUAGGAAAACAGCUGAAGUUUUGUAGUUCUUUUGCUUGUUGGCAUGCAGCCUUAAGGACUCCAGUAAUUACAUCCAAGGAUUUAAAUGAAACUAGAGUUUGUUCUGUGGCGAGUUGUAGAAUAACACGAAAACUUUUAAGAAGAAUGCUGACCACCACAGGAUCAUAAAUGCAGUGUUCAAGAGCUUCCAGCAGUGCUGAGCAUUCUGGCUACAAAGAGAAAAUGAAUAAAAAACAGAUCUUUUAGAAGGAGCUUUAAAACCUGACAAAAACAAUAAACUUACAAUGUAACAUAAGAGAAAAACCAGUACCAGGUUAUAUUUGUUUUCAUUAAGCGUUGCAGCAUACUCCAAGAAGGAAAUGGCUUCCAACUGAAGAAUGUUAACAUCUGAUAGGUAUAAGCUUUCAGAAUCAGUGGGUUCAGUAUUACCGUUAAUAUCUUCAUUUUGAACUUCUGCGACAAUAUGAAAUUGCAUGUCUUCUACAGAUGACCCAAAGUAGAAACAAUUCUCUGAGAAUAUUAAGUCCCAUACACCUUCCUCUCGAAAAGCUGUGAGUAAAGUUGGUUUUGAAACAAGAACCAUUCUGAAUGUGCGAAUCAUGUAAAGCUGAAGGGUUUUGGCCAAAAUCCUGGUGCAUAAGUCACAUCAUACACAGAACAGGUUGUCAUUUCAAAUAUGGAUGCAUUCAAUGAAUUAAAAUAAGAAAACAAUCAUACUGUGUGUAGCAAUAUUAUCUGCAUGUUACUGAUUCAUUGCAUGGGUACCAGUUAUGGUGUACUUGAGAAGAUUACUAGUCAAUGGUGGUAAGUUUUUGUAACACAAGCCCACUUUAGGCACGCAAACUAUAUUCACAAUCCAUUUUUCACCCUGAACUCAAUUGUAGAUUUCUUUUGCACCUCCAACUUCCAAACAUGGACAAAUGACACCACAAGUCCUAUUCCACUGUGAUAUUGGCAGAAUAUGACAAUGGUUUUUGCUGAGUGGACUAAGUCAAGUUCCACUUAAGAGGGUAUUACUUGGAGUGAUGCCACUGACAAUGUCCAAGACAAACCAGCCAAAUAGGACUAGGAGCGUGUUAAGUGAAAUCACCACGAUGUCAACCAUAAUCACCAUUAUUUGUGCAGUUUGGAAGGUGAGUUGAAAAAGGAACGGUUUGACUACAGUGGAGUUCAAGGGCCAAAGGUGUACUAGGUUACUACAAAAACAAAAGCACCUUUUGCUCCUAGUCAUCUUUCCAUCAUUACUUAAAUAAUCAAACCAGCGUGAUAUCUGUGCAUGUAUGUACGUGUAUUACUUGUCGGAUUUUGCAAAAAGGAUUUGAUCAUCUACUAAUUUCACUUGUGUUGAGAUUAUCUACUAUCUGGAAAUUCUGUGCAAAUAUUUGUGAAAUUUUCAAAUUUUGAAACAACAAUAAUGCAUGUUCAACACAUGGCAAUCAACUAGUCCACUAAUAUAUUGGAGUUGGCAUUGAUUGACAUCAGGACAAUUAAAUGAUAUAACUUGUAAUAAACCCCAACUGUUGGGCAUACAUAUCUUAGCUUUAAAAAAACUUCAAUUAAACAUCUUAAUAAUAUCAAACAGAGCAAAAGGCAGAGUAAUUAAUUGUUCUAAUGGACAAGAUAUCAUGGCAAUACAUAAAAAGCAAACUUACUUUAUAUGGUUUGGCAAUUCAGUUUCACUAGUACAAGCUUUGAUGCAUAGGAAGACUGUCAUAAGAACCCUUAUGAACCAUCUCACAGAUUGCUCUCGGUAUGCUGAUGGGAUAGAUAAAGAGAUUUUGUUGCAAGCAAUUUCAUUACGACAGUAACUUAUAACCUUUGAAGGAAUAAUAAAAGAGCAAAGUGCAUUGCUCAACUUUACAGAGUACUCCCUCCAUUCGGUUAUAUCAAGAAAAUAAAUUGGGCCAGAAAUCGAAUCUAAUGCAAGUGAAGGCCCGGUGUUAUCCCUUUGCCGAUGGAACUCCAGAAUCAUAAAUGCAGGCCAACAAAUGCAGUUUGCAAAUUUGUGUACACGUCCAUUUUCGCACAAAAAUUGCAGAUUGUUGACAUUUCCAAAUCUGAAUAGCAGUCAAGAAUCCAACUUGGGGAAAAAAACGAUAGCAGUAUAUGAUACAUAAAUUUAAUUUAGGCAAAAUUUGCUACAGGACACCGAAAGAUUGUGGCCUUUGCUGUGAGACACCCAAAAACGUGUAUUUGCUCGUGAACACUGUAAAAAAGUGGUAAUUAGCUGCUGGACACUCCUCCCAUUAUUUUAUUAUUUUCGGUUGAAAUGGAGAGAGAAAGAGUUGUGUAAGUACCAAAAUAACCCUUUGACACUGUUCUUCCUCUCUCUCUUCUUUUCUUUUCCCCUUCUUCCUCGCAGCGGAGCAGAGGCGCGACGGCGGCCACAGCGGGGCGGCGGCAGCGGCGCAUCGCCAGGGUUCACCGCCGACGGUGACGACGCAUGGCGGCAUCCCGGCGCACGGCUUCCUCUCUCUCUCUUCUUUUCUUUUCCCCUUCUUCCUCGCAGCGGAGCAGAGGCGCGACGGUGGCGGGGCGGCGGCGGCGGCGCAUCGCCAGAGCGCGUCGAGUACAGCACCGUCAAGCCCUAGCUCUUCGAGUGGAAGGCCGGCGCCAGCGCCACUGCCGCUGGCCAUGGCGAGUGCGCACGCGGGUGGACGGCGAUGUACUGACCUAGAUUGGCAAGGAUCUGGCGCCGCCCGGAUCCUUUUUGCCGGCCACGACGCCGCCCGGAGCUCAACCCAGCAUGCUCGCCAUGGCCACUCACCUGCAUGCCGUUGUCCCCUGCAGCCAAACUCCGUGCGGCUGGCGUUGCAGCGGCGGCGAUGGUGGACUCCUCCGCUCUUCCUCCGCCUCCAUGGACAGCUGCCGCCGGUGGAGGUGACGGAGUGGGGGACAUCGACGACGGCGAGGAGGGAGAAGACCAGUACCCUUUCGCUGCUGCUGCGACUUCUUGUUGUGCUUCAGCCAUGGAACAAUCUGCUGUUCUGAUGAACAGGCCGUAGCCUCCUGCUGCUGAUGCUGCUUCAUGGCCACGGCAGAGCUCGGCGGCGGCGCAAUGAGAAAGAGAUGAACAGACAAAGAGAGGAAGAAGAAGAGAGAGAGAGAGAUUGACAAGUGGGCCCAUGGGCAAACUUGUCUUUAACCAAAGUUUCUCUCUCCAUUUCCACCCGAAAUAAUAAAAUAAUGCAGCCGGUGUCCGCCAGCUAAUUACCACUUUUUUACGGUGUCCACGAGCAAAUACACGAUCUUCGGAUGUCUCACAGCAAAGGCCGCAAUCUUUCGGUGUCCUAUAACAAAUUUUGCCUUUAAUUUAAAUGCACAUUAAUUCUUCAAAUUCAUUAUAAGCUGGAGUUAAUAACUAGUAAAUCAGUUAGUCCCAGUCAUAUGACCAAGAAUCUUACUUAAAUUAAAGAAUAGCACAGGAUAUUGAUAUUCAGAAAUUGAAAAACCAAUAAAUAAAGUUUAGAGUACAGGAUACACUGCCUCACUUAGAAUUUCCAAAUAUAAUAUUUGGAGCAGAAGAACUUCAACCCUACAAAAGCAAAGUAACAUCAGAACAUAAAAUUGAGAAGAAAAUAUGGAAGGUGAGAACUAAAAUUAUACUACCUCCAUCCAUAAAUAUAUGACGUUGGUUAGUUAAAAAAUGAACAAACCAAAAUCAUAUAAAAAAGAACAGAGGGAGUAUAUCUGAAUUACUAAUCUAGAAGGUUGUCACUGAAAAAUACAAUGGCAAAUUUAAAAAGGAAAAAAAACGCUUUUCACUAAUCACAAGUCUUUUGAAAGUGCCUAAAGGCUGAAAAUUAAUUUAAUUUAUAAUAGACUUUAUGCGUUAUUAAACAAGCAACAGCCAAAUCCAUAACCUAAUCGGCUUGUUUGGCAAUUCGAAAGAAGGAGAUUGGAAGUUUACACGAGGGAAUUGAUGGUGAGAUUAAGAUGGGAAUUUGAUUUUUAAUCCCAGCAUCUUGCUUGGUAGAGAUGGUAGAAAUUGAUAGGGAGUUUAGUUGGAGAUUAGGUCAUUAAUGAAAACAGAUGGCUGAGAUUUGUUUAGGCAAAGUAAAGGGGGAAUUCCCUCCUAAUUACCACCCCUUACCAAGGUAUUGAAAAGGAGGAAUGUGUGUGUAAAAAAGGUGCAACUAUAUGUUUCACACUCAAAGCAUUCUGCUCAAAAAUUUGUUUAAAAAAUCUAACUGCAAUUUAAAUCAUUAGAAUAUAAUUCUGAAAUUGCCGAACCUUUUUUUAAAAACUAAAUUAUGUCUUGCAUGCAUUUCAAAUUUGAACAAAUAUAUCUUUUUAUGAUUUAGAUUUUAGAUUUGAAUCAUUCUUAGAGUGAAAAAUUCAUAUUUAAAUCCAUUUCCAGACCUUCAAAUUCGAAAUAAAAUUCAAAGCAAUUGUUUGUAUCGUGUUGGAUGUUAUGCCAUAAUUUUAUCUUUGGUCUAGAAAAUUGUCAGUCUUCCCUAACAAAUUCUAUCGAGAAUAUAUGUGAUCCUAUUUCUAGGCAUAAGGCACACUAACGAAAAAUGGAAACGGAAGUAUCAAAUGAUAAACAAGAAGUGCUCCCGGGUUCUAAAAUUUGCACCUUUCAUCUUUUGGGAUAGAUGAAUUCUUCAAAACUGAAAAUUUACUUGAAGGGAGUCCUAGCCCAUCAAGUAGAAUUUCCAAACCACCAAUGCUUCUAACAUGAUUCUGGGCACGGGUUCCAGAUAUAGUUGAUCGCAAAGUGCAUAAUGUGAUAAAAUGAAGUGAAAGAUCUGUCCACUGCUCCGAAUUCAGUCUCUGAAUGACCCGCAAAAGUUCUGCAGUGAAACUAAAUUUAUAAAAACUAACAAAAUUAUAAAAAAUCAAUAAUAGUCAAUAUAGUGACAUGUUAGCUACAGGUGGAUCUACUAGCAAAUAUCUUCUCACAUGCACUGCCUCUGAACUGUGGUGCAUAUGACGAGGUAUUUACAUAUAGUGUGACAACAGAAUUCUGAUGCCUUCUUAGCAGCACACAUACACUCAAUGACUUCAUUUGUUGCUCUGUAAAUUAAAACAAAAUUUCAACUCUUACAUUUUAAUUUCUUCUACUAAAAAAUAGCCAACUUAAUCUCUGAAUUAUGCAGGCAUUCUGUAAUUCCUUUUGGCAUUAAUAUCCCCUCCCAUGACAUCAAGAUUUCCUACCAGGCAUGCUAUUCUUCCUAGUCACCUCUUUCGUUUAAAAUUCCUAAAUACUACAAUCAUUCUAACAGCUAUUGUUCAUUGUUGUCUUCUGUUUGAUACUUCACAUGAUUCGUUGGUCAGAAAUUACAAAAAAGAAAACAUGAAAAUUAACCUGACUAUACUAGAUACACUAUUUCAUUUGAGAUUUUGAUAACCCAGUAAGUACCACUGCAUUAAUUAACAUUAUAACGGAUUGAGUGUUCAAAUAACAGUUUGUAAAACAAAAUUGAAAAACUAUAGCAGCAAUAUCAGUUCACAACUAAAAUGGCAGCCUUACCUACUAACGAAUUGACACCACCAGCUCCCAUCACAAGAACAAUAGCCCUUUGUUGCCAACGUUGAAGUGUAUCAAAAAUACCACUUUCUGAAGUGCUUGGAGUAACUGUGGCCAAAUGAUUUUUUGAUGAGGCACACUUAGUGGAAUUGAGAAAAUGGGGAAUCCUCAGGAUAGUUGGCUCCAAUUUCAUGAAGUUGGAAAUUAUUGUAACUAUGUAUUUGAGCAUAUUUAGCAUCAUUUUUAUAUUUUCUACAGCUUGGCAUGAGACGUGGUUAUCUGCAGCAAGCAAACUGUUCUGGAUUUUGAGCUGAGCAACUGCAGCUGAAUAUACCAAAGAGAAAGGAGUGAGAAUAUAAUUCCUCAAAACGAGAAGUCAACAAACCAUGACUAAGCUAACUAAAAAAAUGUAACUAUUUAAAUUAGAGCAGAAUAAGAAAACUAUUUAAAUUAGAGCAGAAUAAGAAAAAGAAUGCCACCGUUGAGCAAGGGAAAGAAGGAAAAAAUCUGUUUAAAAUAGAGCAGAAUAAGAAGCCUGGAAAAAUAAUCCAGCACAUACAAAGAAUAUUUCCUAGAAUUGAGCUUUCAACACGUGAAGAAUUUUUACCUUUUAGUAGAGAAGUAACCUUCUUUACACCACCAUAAUAGCUAAAUACUCUACAGUUAUGCAUGGAACGAGUCAAAAUUGUCAAGCACUCCAAAACAUGUAGCCGUUCAGUACUUAAUCCCAGAUCUCCUGGUUGCUCUGAAUAGUUCGGAGAAGAUUCUGGACUGUUGCCACCUACUAAUUCAAUACAAGAACAAUUGUAAUCUUAUUAUUUAUCAAAGCAGCCACCAAAAGCUAUUCCACUUGAAACAUUGGUACCAUCCUCAAGAAUCAAUAGAACAUUUGAAGAUAUUUCUAUGGGCAUAGAAUGGUAAUUCGGGAAUCUACAUAGUCACACACACCACAAGAAAAAGUUCUGAGCAAAAAAAACACGCAUCAAAGAGAAACCGGAGACAGUUCUAACAGUAGGGUACUCAUUAUACAGUAAAGCCACUUACUUUCUGCAAUAGUUGAUGUUAUUAUAGACAUCUCCUGAAUCAGGAUAAGAAUGACCUCAGAAGGAUGCCCGUGAGAGCAUCCUACAACUGUUUCAUCAGAUCCUUGUUCUUGAUCAACCAAAUGAAUAUUAUGGUAUGGUCCCCAAUCUCUGAAUGUUUGUACAAAUUGUAAGACAAAAAUUUGCAGGGAUUUCUCCUUUUCAGCCUGUAAAUGAUUACAAAGUGACGUAAGAUAUAGUACAGCAUUACUAUGUUAUUUCAAUUUAGUUCUAACGGCGUAUUAAAUAAAAACUGGUUAACAAAUCAUACAACAUAAAGAUAGACAGUUAUUGAAUAUUCUCUAAAAGCACCUAAUACUCCCUCCGUUUCACAAUGUAAGUCAUUCUAGCAUUUCCCACAUUCAUAUUGAUGUUAAUGAAUUUAGAUAAAUAUAUAUGUCUAGAUUCAUUAACAUCAAUAUGAAUGUGGGAAAUGCUAGAAUGACUUACAUUGUGAAACAGAGGAAGUAGCAUUUAGUAAACAGUUUGGUUACCACACUUAUACAGUUUAAUUUUAGGGCCUGUUUGGCAUAGCUCCAGCUCCAACUCUACCUCUCCUGGAGCUAGAGUCCAGCCAAACAGUUUCAGCCCCACCUUAAAAGUGAGUGGAGCAGACUAGAGUGCUCUCACAAAAUGAACUAAAUUUAGGAGCUGGGUUCAGGCUGCUCCACAACUCCACUCCAGACCCAGCUCUUAGAGUUAAAUUUAGGAGUUGGAGCCCUGCCAAACAGGCCCUUACAUUCUUAAGAAUAUAAAAUUGUACAUUGAGAAACAUGAAUAUUUAGUGUGAAACAGUUUACGAGUGGUUUUAAUUAAAAGUGAAGAAUGCUUGAAAGUUGGAGACAUCAAGCAGACACUUGAAACUGUUGUACAGGUGAGGUCCUAAUGAUAAACAAAUAUCCUAGAACAGAAUCUAGCAAGCUUUCAGGGAAAUACCUUAUUGAGGGCAUUCUCAUACUUCUUCCAUAGUGUAUUUAAGACUCUCUCCUCCGUGCUAUCACUGCAACAAAAUGAAACAUAAUGAGAAACAUUUGUGCAGACGUAGCACACAAAAAAAAUUGAGAUUUGAUUACAGGUUUUAUUUAUACACCACACAAUUACCAUACCCCAGGAAAAUUAACAUAUUAAGUACCACUAACAAAUAAAAUAAUGGAACCUCAGAUGUUAUAGUUGAGAGCCUGUCUAACAAGAAUAUAGCAAUUGUGUUAGUGAUAAUGACAUAGGAUGACGUUUUAGCAUUGCUAUAAGCCACAUAGCAUCAUUCCAUUGAGCACAUAUGCUACCUACCAAAUAAGAAAAGAAGUUUAAACAAUACAAUGCACCCCAGCCAUACUAUUUUUAGUUGUUUAUUUGGCUUUCAAGAAUAUGCAUAGGAUUUGCUGAUCAUUGUAUUAAGUGAGGAGUUCGUACAGCUGCUGAGCAAAAGGAAAAGAAAAAGUUACAGAACAGGGCUAUAUCUCACGAGACGGUUUUGCGACUAAUCUAGCAAAGGCUUCUUGCGCUUCUCCCUGGUGGCGAUAGCUGCUCGGCUUUCCAUGUUGGCAGGCUUCUGACCACCCUGUCAACCAGAGGCUAGAGGUCAGAUUUGAUGGGCUUGUUGAUGCAGAGUGGGAGGACCGGGUAUUUGGAAGUGAAGCUUGCAAGAGGGCAUGGAAGCUCGAGAAGGAGGCGGUCCAUGUCCUCGUCUUGGCAUUGGAAUGGGAUAGCUGAACACCUGCUAUAAUUGGUUUUGAGGACGGAAGCUUCACUUAAAAGCUAAUUGGCUGGUUGUCCUUGAAGCCAGCCAUCCAAAGGUUUGUUUCAUAUCAUGAUUUAGCAUGAACUCUCAUUCCAUGGUUGCACGCAUCAACAUAAAUCAUAUGUACAACCAUUUUGAAUUAUUUUGCAGGGAAUGGACGUGGCAUGGCAAAGCUAAACUAAACAUAUCAGAAUAUUAUGUAUUACUAACUAGCACUGAAACACGCUCUGAAUCCUUGCGGGUAAAUAACUCAGGCUAAUCUAGGGACUACUAGCAAUGUGCUUGCAAUACAUCGACAACUUUCCCCAAAAAUUACAUGCACAUUUUUCUCUCUCGCCACAUAAUCACCGCAAAUCCCAUCCGAAAUUCAGAAACAACGACACGGCACAGGCACGCAAGCCCUAGCGCCCGCACAAACAAACAAGCCACAUUUCUCCCAGGGCGGAAAGCGAGCGAGCGAGCGGAUGUGAUCGAGUACCUGAAGACGACGCGGGGAGAGGGAGCGACGUCCUGGUCGGCACCAUGGAAGGAGCCCUCGCGGACGCCGAAGGAGGAGGAGGGCACCGCGGGCGGCGCGGGCGGCGGCGCCGGCGCCUUGCGGAGGAGAUCGGCGACGCCCCGCACGAUGUUCAUGGCCUCCGACCACCACGCCACGCGCGCCUAGCCACGCACCAUCACCAUCACCACCGCCACCGGCUCGCCGGAGAUGACGAUCGAAGAGGUGAGCAAAACCUACAGGAUUAUUCGAUCCGAACCCCAAAUUCGAUCGAAAAAAAUGCGGCCUCGAUUCGGGAGCGAAUGGGGAAAUCGCGUGGAUCGAAAAUUUUCGUGGGUGUGUGAUUGCGCGCGUGCGUCGAGCUCGCUCUCCUAAUCGCCUAUGUUUAGCCGCGAAAUGGAAGUGGGGGAGGAGAGUGGAAAGCGAGGAGGAGAGGAAGGGAGGGGAGCGCGAUUUGGGAAAGGAAGGAGAAGUUGAGGGGGCUUUUUGGAAAAAGUAUCCGCUAAUACGUUACCUAUUUCGAGGUGAACGCCUCUCCUCCAGGUUUACGUAUUCUAGGCUUUGAAAGCGUACUUUGUGUUGGAACGUACCCCUUCCAGUAGUAAAUGUAUCUGGAAUGGCCUUGCCAGUGAAGCUGGUUUGUGAUAUCAAUUGACACAAAUCUGAAACUAUCUGAACAUACUCCAGUUUAUCAAUAUAUAUGCGUGGAUAUCGAUAUUAUAUCAUCUAUCAAUAAAUGUCAGGAAGCAAGAUUAUCCUUGCUUGCCAUACAAAGAAUUCGCUGCAACAUUUUAGCUACAGUUGCUUAACAAUGCGAAUAGCAGAAAUGGGAUGCUAGGAGUACAAUCUUCUCAACUUCUCAAGCUUGUCAAAAGAAUUGGGGCUCAAUAAUCUGAACACCACAUGUAUCCUUGGCUCUCAUCUGAUUCUCAUCAGUUUAUCAGCUGUCACCCCUUCGUGACAUGAAACUGAUCCCCAAUUCAGGUUCAGAGAGGCCUGGUCCGGCGCCCCGAGGCCCGACCGCAGAGGAGCGCGUUCUUUGGGAUCGGGUUCUCGUCCCGCCAUGAGUUCGCCGGAGAGUAGACCCGGAGGUAGAAUUGUUGGCCGAGGUACUGUCUAGCCCAGCUCUCUGACCUGAUGUUCCACAUCCCCACAUUAUCCAAAGGCAUGUAAAUUGCAGUCCAUGAUUGAGGAUACACCUGAAAAAAGUAGAUCAUGUGCAAGCAGGUCAUAUGAAUUGCGCAAUCAUGGAGCAUUUCCAUAUAUGGUCUAUUGUGCUUCUUGUAAUGACAUGAUCAGAAUAUACUGCUAGAUGCAGUUUCAGAUAAAUUAAGUGUGGUCAUGGUGAUCUACAAUGACCAUCUGCAUUGAUAUACCUGUAAUGUGUACCGAGCAACUGCGUCUCUAAGGUUGUAGCUCUGGCGACUCGCAGGUGUCCAUUGUCCUCCAUCCAUCCUGUUCAGAAAUGGUAAUCACCUUCAAUCAUUGACAUGAACCGGUGGCCUACCCAUAAUUUGCAAGAAUGGCAAUGAAAAACGCACCCGACAACCCAGAAUGCGUAACCGUCAAUGUGCCAUGACUGCACAAAGUUUUCAGAGUUCUCAAAGAUGACUUCAACGUAGUCUCGCAUGUUGGCUGCCAUGACUGCUGUCUGCAGGUAGGCGCCACCUCCGGUUGGGUUGUCAGGCAUGCUCCCCAGAGCGAACACACCCUGAAUGUUGUAGAAGUCGGCAACCUUGAGAGGAGUGUCAGCUGGAAUGAAGGACACGCUGUUGACCGCGUAUCUCAGCUUGCCAUUUAUGCUAGCCCUUGAGUUCGCAAGUCUGAUGGUUCUUGUAGUGUUGACAAGGCCAUAAUGGUAUGAGCCCUGAGGGUUCGGCCUUGGUCCACUCGCCGUCAGAUUCCAUCUGUACCGAGUUAGAAAAACAUGGGAUUGAGUGGAAAGGAAUGUUUCAGUCCUUCAGAAAUGUAUGCCGGAGUUACUUGUGCAACUUCAGUUUUUCAGUUAUGUUACUGUACUAACUAGAUAUGAUAUCUAAAUCAGUUUUUCCAAAUAAACAAAGAUUGUUAACCACAUGGACAGGUCUUAUGUAAUUAAAAAUAUGAAACAUUGUAGUUACUAGUUGCUAGUACAUUUGUGUAGGGAAAUUCCAAUGUUCUUGUCAAACUAAGUUAACUUUUGUUGGUCCUCUUGAACAUAUCUUAUGAUCUGAACCUAGUAUAUUUUCAUUGACUUCCCAAAAUUCUGUUAUUGAAAAAUAAGCAUAUGCUAUUCAAAUCUGGACAAGCUUACCGAUUUUUUUUUUGGAAGGAAGGCAAAAGCUUACCGAAUUGAUCUAGCCUGAUUGAGAGACCAAUCAAUCUGGAUUGUUGGUGCUGGGGGUGGUGCUACCGUAGAAAGGGCACCGUUUGAAUUGCUGUAGUGGAGGACAGCAGUAGUGGUGAGCACAGGAUUGGUGAAACGGGUCGAGACAAUAAUGCUGUAGUCCUGGGGUGGCUGAUCAGCCGUCACGAGGAAUGAGUAGGACUGGCCUAGAUGGACAUCAAUCGAUGUGUAUGUGCUCUGCACGGUGUGUGAUCCCUCCACCUCAACCAGCAGCAAGGAAUGACCUUGAAUCCUUAUGUUCACUGAUGUUGCUAUGCCCACAUUCGAUACCCUAAAACGGUAAGUUUUCCCUGGCAACAUUACAUCAAACAAGUUCAGGAUACACAAUGGUGAAGUGCCCGCCAGACUUCUAGGUAUGUUGUUCUGAUUUACUCAGAUAAAUUUACCUUGGUCUACUGUAAACCUGUUGCCGUUCCAGCCUUGGCCAUUGAUAAGAAGCCCAUCAGGGGGUGGAAGGUCAUUACCACUGUCCAGAAUGCCUUGCAAAUCCUGCAAAAUUCUAAGUUUAGUUUUUGGUGAUGCAAUAAAGUGAGCACCAUGAUACAUAAACUACAAUUCAGGUGUUGAACUUUGUGCUUAAGUAUAUAAAAAAAUGUACUUACAGUGUGAUUGAGCUUGAACCAGUCACCGGCCAAUAUGGUGAAAUCGCCAGCAGGGGGUGCAAAUGGAACCGGGAUCCCCGGGCGGCUAAGGACCCUGAUACCACCAUACCCACCAGCAGCCUUAUGGAAUGCAAGGGAAGGAAAGUAGUAGUAGCUCCCAAUUUGGUCCUUGAACUGCAUGAUGUAAGUGAAAUUGCCACCCGGAGGGAUCGGGCAGUUUGUACCAUACACCCCGUCUUGCCAUGAGCUCCUCCUCUGUUGAAUUCCUUGCCUGCGAUGUAUGAACACCCAAGUAAGUUACAGACACGGGUAUUCAUUUCCACGGUCCAAAUAUGAAACGUCAAUGAGAUGUUUUUUUUUAGUAACAGUUGAUGAACAUAUUUCAUUUUACUAAUAGAAGAUGAAUGUUUCAUUUUACUACUAGAAGAUGAACAUAUUUUAUGCCGUCGCCUUCUACGAGAAAUUUUCUAAUACUCAAAUUAGUUCCUCAAGGUGGCAACAAGUACACUUGAAGCCAAAAGUAACCCAGCAAGCACAGCAAUCUGCACAUGCUCAACUUGAAGCAUAUUAGGCCCCACUGAUACAAUUAGGCACUAGUUGCACACAUGCUCUUUCUAUCAUGGAUCUGUAACGAGAACGAAAGCACAAGUAUAAAAGAAAGGGAAAAAAAAAGGGAAAGAUGUAAGUAGACGCUACACACAGUAUCAGGUUCUUUUAGUUGAGCAAGUAAAAGGAAGCAAUAAAGAUUUUGCCCUGGGACAGCUCACACGUCAGUGACAUCACAAGCUCUGCAAAAGCACUUACAGAAUCAAGAUCUACACAUGUGUUCUCGAUUGAAACUUUGAAAGAAUUGGCAUGUUGUUUUCACAUGUUCAAACUUGCACAGCCCGUUUCAGUCCCAGCAACAGUGCAGUCAUGUGGGGAACAAUCUCAGAGACAGAGACAGAGAGAGUUUACACAUCUCAAGGUUUAAUUACAGCUUAAUGAAGAUCAUGCUGAUCAUGGCAAAGACAUAUCUACGAAUCUACAAAUGUGGAGAAAUAAUCUGGAAAUGAGCCGACAAGCACUCUCUCCGGCAAGACAGAAAAUGCAACGUACGGAGCGAAACAUGCCAGGCAGACUUUGGAGCAGCAAGCAAAGUUAGGUGAAACAGCGUUAAACAGAGUGAUGAAGAGAAAGCUCUGCAAAAUUACCAUGAGAGGAGGAACGGGGAAGGCAGGUUGUUGAAGACAUUGAUGAUGAUGUUGUCGUUGGUGACCGCGUCGAUCUGAGGCCCCGGGAACUGGCCGUUGAUCAGUAUCCCCUGCAAGCAUCACACACCCCCACAACAACGCCAUUAGCAAAUGCAGCUCCGCUCAGCUCCAAGAACAAGCUGAAGCUGAAGCAGAACAAGAAGAAGAAGAUGUACUUACCUGCUGCUUGACGCCGAGAGGGUAGAUGUCGCCGAAGGUGAUGUUCCAGGUGUAGAACCUGUAAGGGUCGUCGCCUCUGACCGCGACGACGAGGAGGAGGAAGAAGAAGACGAGGAAGCGGGUAAUGGUGGCCUCCAUUCUCCUCGUCUCACACCUACCACCGCCACCGCCGUAGCCCGUACUCACUCUCACCGCUUUAUCACCGAGCUGAGCUGAGGUCACUUGCCAGCUACUAGUGGAGUGUGGAGUGUGAUGGUGGGGGGGGGGGGGGGGGCAGGGGUCAAAGAGAGUGUCAGGGAGGAAAGGGAUCUGAGAUGAGAGGAGGUGAGGAAUUAUAAAUGAGGCGGCAGAUUUUGCGGUGAUGGCGAAUGGGUGGUUGGACGGAUGUGCUGUGCGUGUUCUUCUCCUCUGCUAGAUUCAUCAAUUUUUCGUCGCGCGGCAGCGGCAGGGAGGGGUGGCAUGAGUUGUCACGGGGACGUGUGGCCCGCGUCGUAGGGAGGCGCGCGCGCGAAACUGCCGGGGGCAUCGAACCGCAAAAUGCUAGGCGUACGCGGUGGAGUAUGUACAUUCUGACUGUUCCAUGCACGACCAAGGUUAUCAGAAUCGGGAUACUAGGUAGUAUCGUUUUGCUCAAAGUAAUAUCGUAUCGUAGGAUCGUAUCGUAGUAUCAGGAUACUAUGAGAUUUUCUUCUUUUAAAGUUUAAUUAAUAUUUAUAUUAAUUAUAUAUAGCCAUUCUAUAUAAAAUAAUGUAGUAAUGAUAUAUGUCAUGCAAAUAGAGACAUUUAUUAAGAGAAACCACGUUGGUUUUGAUAUAUUUAACUGAUUUUUAUAUAAAUUUGAGCAUAUUUAGUUACAUUAUUUUCAAACCAUGUUAUUUUAAAUAAUAUUUUGUAGUAUUGUAGGGAUCGUAAAAUCGGGAUACCACAUAAGAUUCCGUAGGAUCGUGUAGUAAUUAAUAGUAGGAUCGAGAUACUAUGAAAAUUAGGAUACUAGGUGGGAUCGGUAUCUUUUCGGCUUGAGAGGAUCGUAGUAUCGUAAGAUACUAGAAUACGAAUCGGGAUAUUGACAACCUUGCGCACGACCGACGUGCUCGCGCAACCGCAAAAGAAGAAGGAGUCGCCUGGCGGGUGAAAUGGCUCCGUGCACCCAGCGAGCGUCUUCUCUCUCUCCCACACGGCCACACACGCACAUCUGGAUGUACGAUGUGUCGGCGCCAUGGUGCUCCGCGGCGCCGCAGAAGUGACUUGCCGGUGCGAAUCCAAUGUUUAAGCCGACGAAUCACGAAUCACGAUCAGCUGCAAGAGGAGGAGGAGACGAGCAGUGCACGUAAAGCAAGGCCAAUAUCUUACGUAGGUUUUGACGGAGCUCCAGUUUCACCCUUUCUACAGCGAGUACUCUAAAAUAAGAGAGGAGCUGGGUGGAGAAAUAGAGCUGGAUUUAGGCCGCUCUAUAACUUCACUCCAGACCUAAAACCUGAAGCGAGAUUUAAGAGUUGAGCUCUACCAAACAUACCCUAAAAUAACCUAAGUUGCUUGUACAAGUUAUCACAUCAUAUUUUUCUUACAUGAGGAAAAAGAAAGAGAAGAAAAGCGAGCCACGGAUUUAUAGCCAGCUACAGCACAAGCUCCAAUAAACCAUAUGAGAGAUAUGGACAAAUUAAGUAUUAAUGAUACAAUAUAUAUCUACAACUAAUUAUUGUCUAAAUAGGCUAUUAGGUUGGUUAUGGAUAAAAAAACAUCCAAGGGUCUUCCCGCUAGCUCCACAAGGUGAUGUACUAGUUGUCCUAGAUCCGAAGCCUCACCAUUUCUAUUUAUUUAAUAUUAGGUUAGUUAUAUAUGAUGUUUAAUUUUUGAAGCUAGUAAGCUGGCUAUAUUAUUAAACUUGCUCUUAAAACCAGAGAUCAACUAAACCGUUAUAGUUUUACCUAUAAAGUAAGUAGAUCUGGAUUUGAACCGCUUCAAAACUCUAAGCCUAGCUUCUAAAUUUAAAUUUACAAGUUGGAUCCCUGUCAAAUAUGGACCCGUAAGCUCUGGAUAAUCCAACUCGGGAUCGCGCGUGACGACGAUGGAGGCAGCGGCGCGCGCACGUCGUGCACGCCCGGGCGACCGGCCGCCAUGUGAUCCGCAUGAGAAAGCCACCAUUGGCUGGAUCGCCCAAGUGCUCCUCCGAAUCUCCAAUUGUCCAAUGCCUCCAGCUUACUUCACAUGGCCACUAAUCACGAUUCACAUAAAACCACUUUUCCCUCGGUUGAUGCCUCACCCUAGUUGCGUGCCACUUGCGUACUUGCAUGCGGCUCGAUCCAAACAUGUAAAUUUUAAAGAAUGAUUCGAUCGAGUGAGUGAUCCGAUGUAAUGUGUACACCUCGGCUUUUUUGCUCGUACGUACGUGAAGCCUCGCGGAAUCACGCACGGGAAGGGAGACGCGACGCGCGCUGUACGUGCGUCGAGCGAUCGAUAUGUCAUAUGAGCUCUCCUGUGGGCUGUGUGGAUGGACGGCCGCGCGCACCGACACACCGUUUUCACGGUGGAGCGCCCUCACCGACAGGCGACAGGGCAUCAGGAAGGUGGCGCCCUGUGCGGCCGAUGGGUGAUGCCACAUCGGCGAUUUGCGAAAAAGCCCUUCGCUUUACGCGUAACUAGCAUGGUGGCCCGCGUAGAUUGUGCGGCUAGCAUCAUUAUAUUUUCUCUCAUAUAAUACCAUAUAUGUUUUCUCAUUAAAUUAUUAAAAUAUAUUUCAAUGACAACAUAAUUUUAAAUUUUGCAAUAACUUUACGAAACUACUAAUGUGUAAUAUUCAUGUUGUAUUUUAUAUACGUGUUAGUUAUUAAUUAUUUUUCUAUCAAAUUUUAAUUAUUUCUAAAUUAUAUAUAUUCCUAUAUGGACUCUAGACUCGUCUUUUAAUAUUUAUUUUUUUUAAUUCUGAAUUUUUAUUAUUUCUAAUUGUAUUUCUAUGUGGACUCUAAACUCAUCUUUCAAUAUUCUUUAGUUUUUAAUUUUAAAUUUCAGUUACUUCUAAAUUGUAUUCCUAUAUUGACUUUAAACUCUUCUUCCCAUAUUUUUCCUAAUUUCCAAUUUUAGUUAUUUGUAAAUUGUAUUUUUAUACGGACUCUAAACACUACUUUUCAUUUUAUUAUGUUCCGAAUUUUAGUUAGUUUUAAAUUCCUAUAUGGACUAUAUACACUACUUCUAAUAUUCGUUAUUUUUUAAUUCCGAAUUUCUAUUUUUUUUCUUAAUUGUAUUUCUAUAUGGACUCUAUACUCUACUUCUAAUUUUUCUUAUUUUUAAUUCCGAAUUUCUAUUAUUUUCUAAUUGUAUUUCUAUAUAGACUCUAGUCUUGUCUUCUAAUAUUCCUUAUUUUUAAUUCUGAAUUUCUAUUUUUUUUCUUAAUUGUAUUUCUAUAUGAACUCUAUACUCUACUUCUAAUAUUCCUUAUUUUUAAUUCCGAAUUUCUAUUUUUUUUCUUAAUUGUAUUUCUAUAUGGACUCUAUACUCUACUUCUACUUUUUCUUAUUUUUAAUUCCGAAUUUCUAUUAUUUUCUAAUUGUAUUUCUACAUAGACUCUAGUCUUCUCUUCUAAUAUUCCUUAUUUUUAAUUCUGAAUUUCUAUUUUUUUCUUAAUUGUAUUUCGAUAUGAACUCUAUACUCUACUUCUAAUAUUCCUUAUUUUUAAUUCCGAAUUUCUAUUAUUUCCUAAUAAUAUUUGACUCUAUACUCUACUUCUAAUAUUCCUUAUUUUUAAUUCCGAAUUUCAGUUAUUUACUAAUUGUAUUUCUAUAUGGACUCUAGUCUCCUCUUAUAAUAUUCCUUAUUUUUUAAUUCCGAAUUUCAACUAUUUCUAAAUUGUAUUUCUAUGUGGACUCUAGUCUCCUCUUCUAAUAUUCCUUAUUUUUUAAUUCCGAAUUUCAGCUAUUUCUAAAUUGUAUUUCUAUAUGGAAUCUAGUCUCCUCUUCUAAUAUUCCUUAAUUUUUAAUUCCGAAUUUCAGCUAUUUCUAAAUUGUAUUUCUAUAUGGACUCUGCCUUUUCUUUUUCUCCGAUUAAUGUGAGAAUUUCUAGACCAUGAGUGUCGACGGGGGAUACCCGUAGACCGGAUAUAGAGGGUAUUGAGGUACGCUGGUACGAGGAUCUACGUAGUACGACAUCAAGCAAACAGGAAACAGGGAUUAUACUGGUUCAGGCCCCUUGGUAGGUAAUAGCCCUAAUCCAGUUGAUAUGGGAUUAUAUGAUGGAAACCACAGAUUACAAAGGGAAUAGUAGAACUCGACGAUACCGACGAGAUCAUAGUCGAGUCAAUCCGACUAGAUAUCCCGGCGACUUGGCUCCGAUAAGCUCCGACUUCGUAGGCUGUGGUGGAUGCGUUGGCUCUGAGAUUCGAUCUCUUAGGUCCUCCCGGGGGAUCCCUUUUAUACCAUAGGUUAACUGGUCUCCAAGUAGGACUCGGAGACAUCGGACCCGAUACGAUACAAUGACGACCCAGUUCUAUCUGAGUAGGACUCCUUACAUUUGUGAACUCCGUAAUGGAUUUCCCCAACCUAUGCCGAAAACGUCCGCAUAUGCGCAAGCAUACCAUGUCGAUAUGUGACGUAUAUCGAAGGGUAGAGGGUAUACCUUACCCGUAACCCUGACAGUAGCCCCCGACUUCUGCUUAAAUAAACUCGUGAAACCGAUCGCGACUUCUGAUGUCGAAGUUGUCGUCGUUCUCGGUGUGAUGACCGAGAGACAAGGAGUGAUCGACAACGCCGAGUGAAGCUCAACGGUCCUGAGUGAAUUUAAAUUGAAGUCCGAGAAACUGCCGCGCGUAACGGACCCAGAAAUUUCCGGCGGCCAUCUCUCUCCUUUCCUUGGAAUUCGCAACGUCGGAGGUGCGUCUAUUUAAGGGAGUUUUGGGGAUCCAAUUUGAGGUCCGCCUGUUGAAAAAACUCUCCAGCUUCCAAACGUCCCUCGUCUUCUUCGCUCCUGCAAAAACCCUAGCCAGCUCAUCUCGGUCCUUUCUCCGGCGAUCCCCGGUGGCAAUGGAUCACGACAAGUCUACCUCCACCAGUGCGUCACUAAAGAAACAGCAGGAGGAUAACGCCCUUCCCGGUCGCGGGACCGCGGAGAAGGAAGUAGGAGGUACUGAACCCCAGCCUGUCCUGGGUCGCAUGGUUGCGGUUGAGGACUUUAUUCUCUGCGGUUUUCUUCCUCCGCCUUCUGAAUUUCUCCUUUUGGUCUUGAAUUUCUAUGGUCUUUCCUUGCUCCAUUUGAACCCCAACUCCAUUGCCUUCCUGAGUAUUUUUACGCAUCUUUGUGAGGCCUACAUUGGGGUGAAGCCGUUUCUCGACCUUUUCCGCUUUUACUAAAAAGGUGUCUAGGUGUGUUGGUUUUCGACUUUGGGAUGGCCUGAAGAAGCGAUACAUCCCCUUUCAGUGCCCCUCCUCUCGCAGCAAGUGGUGGGGGAGGUGGUUCUAUCUUCAGAUAAAGGAUUCGGAUCCGAUCUUCGUUGUUCCUGAGGAGCAACCAGACAAGAUUCCAUCUUGGACCACCAAACCCGCCUUGACCCCAUCCCUCCAAUCUUUCAUCGAUAUCAUUGACGACCUCCGAGAACGGGGGUUGUCGGGGUAUGAAGUUGCUGUCGACUUCAUUAGUAGGCGGAUUCAGCCGCUUCAGGCUCGAGCCCAUCCUGCCUUUGAUUAUUCUGGGCCAGAGGACGCGACCCGGGUUUCUCCUCAGGGCAUUUCUUUUUUAGUUAAAUUGACUCCCUUAUGCGCGCGUUCUUCCCGGCUUAUCGGAUUCUGGUCUCGAUCUACAGGCUUGGAUAGCGCAACCGUGGAGCGCUGUGUCGGCCAACUGAUGAUCAGCGGCCCGACAACGGCGAACAAAGUCCCCGUCCCCCUUUGCGAGAAAGGGACGGCCGAGCGCGACGCUGCCAUCAAUGUAAGUGUACUCAGUGGUCCUUCUGCAUUUUUCUUCUGGGAUCGCAUUAUGACUUCAUGAAGCGUAGGCUCUCCCUCUGACUGAUAUCAUCGGGCCGCUCGUGGACCAUUAGGUGGCGGCGUCGCUGACGUUGCUGCUGCCGCUGCCACAACGAGUGGCGGCGUCGUUCCGAAAAAGGGGAGGAAAUUCUCCUCUGUAGUCGGACAUCGUCGGAAGACACCCACCCCCUCGGUAAGUUCUCCUGUUAUUUGAUCACGUAGUCGGAAGACUUCCACCUCACAUCAUAUCGAUUGUACUCCAGGCCUCGGACGCGUCUCCCCCACCUCCGCGACGGUAGCGGCUUGUGACGCUCGGCGAGAAGUGAGUGAAUGAAUUUGAGGUUUCGCGAUUUCGUCGAACUCUGUCUCAAUCGCAGCCUUUCGCAGGGCGGCGCGGGCGAAGGCGGCGCAAGAUGGGUCUGGAGGGACCUCCAACGCGUCUCCUGCCGUGGCCUCGACGGAUGUUGUGGUCGUGCCCAGGAGCCGCGAGGCGACACCUAGCGGCCCAGCCAGCGAUCCCGUGGCUGGUCGUGGUUCGUCGGCUGUUGUCCUCACCUGGGAGGAGCUCCAGGUUGAGAUGGGGCGCCUCCUCGAGGCUGGUGCUCACGGCAUUGGUCGCGAGAUCGUGGAGGCGAGGGCGGCGGCGGCGUCGUUGGCGAAUAAGCGCGCCGACCGGCUGGCGCACGAUUUGGCGGAGGUUCGUGAGGACCUCCAGAAGAUGAGGGAACUGGUAGCCGACAAUGAGCGACAAUGGCAGGGAGUCGAGCACCGUAUGUCGGAGCUUGAGAACAACUUGUCGGAAAUCCGUGGCUCGUUGCGGGUCACCUAUACUGGUCUGCACCAGCUCGCCGGGGAGUGCGGUAUCAAGUCUACCAUCCCGGCGAAUCCCGAUGAGUUCUCGCUGACGUCUUCUCUUGCGGAGCUGGCGGCGGCAAUGGAGGAGAUCCCCUCCAAGCAUGUGGCCAGGAUCGAGGAGGAGACGUCCAACGGGAUCUACACCGGGGCGUGCCACGUCCUUGCGUGUGUGAGGCUGGCGCACCCUGAACUCGAUCUGCAGAAGAUCUUGGAUCAGGGGGCGGCUAGCGACGCGCGCAAGGAUGUGAUGGAAGAAGUCGGCGAUCUGGGGGAGUCUGUUCUCCCACUUUUUGAAGAGUAGGAUUUUGACUCUCUUGUACUCUUUAGUCAUGCUUUGUAAAACUUUCGUUGGUUCCAACCGCCUUAGUAUGCGCAGUCAUCGCCUUAGCUUUCUUUAGCAUUUUGAUCUUGAGUACUUUGUUGCCAUUUGUAGAGAUGUUGAUGUCGAGGAUGUCCAGCAGCGCGGGCAGCCUGAGUUGCCAAUGGUCGUUCCGUUACUUGCGUCUGAGCCACAUGUGCCGGAGGGCAAUGUAGAUCGAAGUUCGCCCGUGGAAACGAGCAUGGCGACGACUCCCUUAGGUUGGUUGUCUUUGUUAUCAUUUCCUUUGCCCUUCCUUCUGGAUCGACUUGAUUUGUUGUGUUCUCGGGAGAGAAGAGCAGCUUGACUUAGUCGUUUCCAUGCUGAGCAGAUCUCGAGAGUGCGCUUGCUGACCAGGAUCGUCGUGUCCAGUAUUGGAGGACGAAGUUUGAGGUCGCGGAACUCGAGAGGACUAUGCUGGAAGUGAGAAAGGACCAGGCCGUAGAGACACUCUGGGGGUCGUGAGGUGUGGUUCAACUCGUAUCUGAAGAGUUGCUGCACAUCCAUGUCGAUAGUCUGUAGAGAGCUCCGAGUACCCCGUGGGGAUCCCGAGGAAUCGGCGGCCGGAUACAUCUCGUGGCUGAAUGGGGCCUGCGCCCAGCUCGAAGGCAUCGGUCAACGUAUCGACGAGGCGUUGAAGCAGGAGUGUUGUCGCUCAAGCCGAUAUGCCGGGGGGCACGUGUUGGCCUGCAUACGAGAUCAUCGUUCGCAGCUGCACCUCGAGUUCCUCCGCGAAGGGUUUUCUCGUUCUCGGAGAACUCCUAUGGAGAUAGAUGGCCUGGUGAAGUCGAUGGCGCCGCUGGCGGUGAAGGUCUUCCAGUCGAUGGACUAGCGUUGGCCUUCCUUGUAGUCUCCGUGUCUCUGGAUGUAGUGUGUAUGAGUGUCUUCUCACUUCGCGACUUUGAUCAGUCGUUUGAAUUAUACACUCUCCCUAGCCCCCAGCCUUGUCAUCGGAGAAUUCUUCUCGGGAGAUAAGGCUCUUGGACCUUUGACCUGCCUCGGUUGAACAAGCACUGAUCCUAGCCCCCAGCCGUGAAGUUGGAAAGUUUAUUUCCGAUUACACGGCUUGGUUAAUACGCACGGCGAGAACUCUUACACGACCAGAUCUUACAUGGUCUUUCAUUUCUACAGGAUCCGACAAGGCCUUAUCGGCUCUGGGCGUCCCCAGCCGAAGUUCCCUUAGGUUCCUCGGAGGCCUUGUCAAGACGGCAUAAAGGGACAUGAGGAUAGGUUUCAACGCUAGGUGUCAUCUGGGUAAGGGAUCAUCGGGAAGGAACACUUCGAUUGUAGUCUGUACCUGAAAAAUAGGCUUUAUUGAAGUUGUAAGGUGUCUUACAAGUAUGGAUACUAUUGACUUAUACAUAGAAUUUACGUAAUUGAUCAAUGUUCCAAGAGUUUGCCAACUCGCGACUAUCGCCGUCUGCAAUUUUGAAUGCGCCUGGCCGCAGAACUUGUGUGAUCGUGUACGGUCCUUCCCAUUUAGGUGAGAGCUUGUUUCGCCCUGCUUGGCUUUGAACCCGUCGGAGGACGUAGUCACCGAUCGAAAGCGUGCGUGCUCGGAUGCGCUUCUCGUGGUAACGGCGAAGGGCCUGUUGGUAGCUGGCUGCUCGAACGGCAACUCGAUCGCGAUGUUCCUUGAGUAGAUUCACAUCAUCGUAUCGCUGCUCCUCCUGAUCCUCAUCGGAACACUUCUGUACUCGUGUACUUUGAUGUCAUAGCUCGGUGGGGAGCAUGGCCUCUGAGUCGUACACGAGGAAGAAGGGUGUCUCCUUGUUAGAUGUUGUCUGUGUGGUACGCACGGCCCAUAGUACUGAUUGAAGUUCCUCGACCCACUUCUUGUUGUGUGACAUGAGCCUGUCGUAGACGCGGGUCUUGAUUCCUUGUAAUACUAUGCCGUUUGCCCUCUCAACUUGUCCAUUACUCUGAGGGUGAGAAACCGAGGCGAAGCAGAUCUUGACUCCCAACCUGAUGCAGUAAUCCUGGAAAUCGGCACUGAUGAACUGGGAGCCGUUGUCUGUUAUGAUACGGUGGGGCAAUCCGAACCUGCAGAAUUUCCCUUUGAUGAAUUUGAUGGCGUUGUCGGCCUUGAUUUCCCCAGUGGGUAUCGCUUCAAUCCACUUGGUGAAUUUGUCGAUCGCCACGAAUAGGAACCUGUAGCCGUCCUGUCCUCGUGGGAAUGGCCCGAGUAUAUCUAGCACCCAGCACAAGAACGGCCAAGUGAGAGGGAUAGUUUGGAGUGCUUGCGCUGGUAGCUUUGUGUGUUUACUGUGGAAUUGACAGGCUUCACACUGCUGAACCAUGUCACAGGCGUCUUUGAGGACGGUUGCCUAGAAAAACCCUUGUCGAAAAGCUUUUCCAACUAAUGUCCGACCGGCGGCAUGUGACCCACAGAUCCCUUCAUGUAUGUCGAGGAGGAGGUGUCUGCCGUCGUCGGAUGAGAUGCAUUUUAGGAGUACCCUGUUUGGUGCCUUCUUGUAUAGAUCGUUGCCGAUCAUACAGUAGACUUUUGAUUUACGGGAUAUUUUCUCGGCUUCUGCGUCAUCCUCGGGCAGCUCUUCGCUGCAUAUGAAUUUAAUGAGUGGGGUGCGCCAGUCGUCUGUGGUCUCGAUAUCGGCAACGGCGCGCUCUGCCUUUGUAGCCCCCGAGCCGACGUUGGGGGAGUCUGGGCUAUCUUCGUCGAUUGCAUCUUUCACUGAUGGCCUCAUCAGGAUGUCCAUAAAGGUGCCAGGUUCAAGUGGUUCUCGUCUAGAAGCACGUCGUGCUAGAUCAUCCGGUUCAAUGUUGUCUUUGCGGUAUACAUGUCGGACCUCGAUCCCAUCGAACCUUUUUUCCAGCUUCCUGACUUCUGCGAGAUACUUGGAUAACUCGGGGCUAGAGCACUUGUAAUCUUUAUGCACCUGGUUCGCGACUAGUUCGGAAUCCCCUUUCACGAUCAGUCACUUGAUUCCAAGUGCAGCUACAGCUCUUAUCCUGGCGAGUAGUCCUUCAUAUUCGGCUGUGUUAUUGGUUGCCCUGAAGUUGAGGUGAAGUGCAUGCUUGAAUUGAUCUCCCAAAGGUGAUGUCAAGAUGAAUCCUGCCCCUGCUCCCUGGCUGUUGAGUGCGCCGUUGAACGCCAUUGUCCACGUUUCAUUGUCGAUUUGGUUGUCUGACCUAUUAUCAGGCAUUGUCCAAUCGGCUACGAAAUCGGCGAGUACCUGGGACUUGAUGGCUGUUCAUGGCACGAAGUGGAUAUCAAAUUGGCUUAGCUCGACUACCCAUUUGGCAAUGCGGCCGACAACAUCUUUGUUUCUCACGACUUCACCGAGAGGGAAGGAGGAGACAACUGUGACCCUGUGGGCUUAGAAGUAGUGGCGUAGCUUUCUUGAUGUCAUGAUUACCGCGUAGAGCAGUUUUUGGAUCUGUGGAUAUCUUGUCUUUGCGUCGUGGAGAGCUUCGCUAACAUAGUAGACUGGUCGUUGCACCUUCUCUCUUUCGACAACAAUGACAGUGCUAACGGAGUAUGGCGUGGCGGCAAUAUAGAGAAAUAAUUCUUCAUUAGGUUGGGGGGCAACAAGUACGGGUGGAUUUGAUAGGUAGCGCUUGAGUGCAAUGAAUGCCUCUUCGGCUUCCUAUGUCCAUACAAAUUUGUCUUGCUUUUUCAAUAGAGCGAAGAAAGGCUGUCCUCGCUCUCCCAUCCUAGCGACGAACCUGCUUAGUGCCGCCAUGCAUCCGGUUAGCUUCUGUACUUCCUUGAGUCUUGUAGGCGACUUCAUGUUCUCGAUUGCCUUGAUCUUCUCGAGAUUUGCUUCUAUUCCUCUGCCAGAGACGAGGAAGCCGAGUAGCUUGCCCGAGGGUACUCCGAACGUGCACUUCUCUGGGUUGAGCAUGAGGCGAUAUCGUCAGAGGUUGUCGAACAUUUCCCGCAGAUCGUCAAUCAAUGAGUCGCUUGUCUUGGUCUUGACAACAAUGUCAUCGACGUAGGCCUCGACAUUGUUUCCGAGCUGGUCGCUAAGUGCACCUUGGACCGUGCGCUGGAAAGUGUUUCAUGCGGUUAUUAGUCUGAACGGCAUCUUAACGUAGCAGAAUACCCCAAACGGCGUGAUGAAUGCUGUCUUCUCCUCGUCCUCUUUCACCAUGCUGAUUUGGUGGUAACCGGAGUAAGCGUCGAGAAAGCUCAACAACUCGCAACCGGCUGUUGAGUCCACCAGUUGGUCUAUUCGAGGAAGAGGAAAGUGAUCCUUGGGACACGCCUUGUUGAGGUCGGUGAAAUCGACACACAUUCUCCAUUUCCCGUUGGCCUUCCGCACCAUGACUGGGUUGGCUAGCCACUCUGGAUGGAGUACCUCUCUGAUGAAACCGGCUUUGAGAAGCUUGUCGAGCUCUUCUCGUAUGGCUUGUUUUUGAUCUGGUGCAAAUCUCCGCAGUUUUUGUUUUACUGGCUUGGCAUCGGGUCGCACCAUGAGUUUGUGCUCAAUCACCUACCUAGGUACCCCCGGCAUGUCGGACGGCUGCCAAGCGAACACGUCAGCAUUGUCGUGGAGGAAGGUGAUGAGCGCGAGUUCCUAUUUCUCGCCUAGUGAUGCCUCGAUCUUGACGGUCUUGUCGGGGUUGGCAUUGGAGAGUGCAACGAUCUUGAUUGCGCCGUCUGACUUCGGCGUCUUGUUUGUUUUGCUCACUUUCUUGGGUGGCUCAGCUGUGGCGGGUGGGCUGGGCGUGUGCUUGACCAUGUCGAGGCUCUGCUUAUCGCAUUGUACUGCCAGCUUAGCGUUCCCUUGAAUAGUGAUUGUUCCCUUCGGCCCUGGCAUCUUGAGCACUUGAUACGCGUAGUGAGAUGCGGCCAUGAACUUCGCGAGUGCAGUUCUCCCAAUAAUGGCAUUGUAUGCUGUAUCGAAUUCAGCGACAUCAAAGGUGAUCUGUUCCGUUCGGAAGUUGUUUGCUUGGCCGAAAGUCACAGGCAACGUAAUUUUGCCCAAUGGUUUAGACGAUGACUGAGGAGUGAUUCCAUGGAAGGGUUGGUCAGUGGGUGUCAACUCGCUUCGUGGGAUCCCCAUCGCGUCCAAGGCGCUGGCGAAGAGAAGGUUGAUUGAGCUACCGCUGUCGAUCAGGACUCGUGCGACCUUGAUAUUACGAAUAGUGGGUUCGACCACGAUCGGAUAUCGCCCUGGGAUGACAGCAGUCUUGGGGUGGUCCUCUUCUGAGAAUUCUAUCUUCUGCUCGGACCACUUCAUCUUAGGCGCAGCCCCCUGCCACAUCGAACAGACUUCACGUUCCACUUUCUUGUAUUCUCGCUUUGAGGAGUAUGCCAUGGAACCUCUGAAGAUGUGUGAGACAUGGAGAUCGGAAUCUGGGUAUGCUGAGUCUGAUUCCUGAGUAGGCGCCUCAGCGUCCUUCUCAACCACGCGUACUCGCUUGCCUUUUUUCGAUGCCAUGUGUUUUGCGAGCGACUUUUUGAAGACGAGGCAAUCUUCUAGAGAAUGUGUGUCCGUCUUGUGUAUAGGGCACCAUGCUUUCUUCGUGUCGCUGCCUUGUGGGUCUGGGCGCUUGGGAGGGUCCACGUAUUCUGUUGCGAGAACUUUGGAUUGAGCUUUCCUUUUCCCACUCUUGCGAUUUGUCUUCUUGCUUGACUCAGGUGCGUCCUUGGCUGGCUUCUUCUCUCCUCCGGUCUUCGGUUUGUUGUUCUUGCGUCUCAGUGCGUCAUCCGCAUGAGCGCAUCGAUCAAAAAUUUCGAACAAUCUCCAAGUAGUCAUGAUGCGCCUCGUUGCCAACUCCUGAGUAGUAUAGCGAUCUCUGACACCGGAUUUGAAAGCGCGAAUUACAGAAGCGUCGGUGAUCUCGGGGAUUGUGUUUCUGCACUCGUUAAAGCGCCGAACAUAAUCCCUCAAGGAUUCGCCCGGGUUCUGUGUCAACGCAUGUAGGUCAUCUUCGAUCGCGUGACGCUUAUAAGUUCCUUGGAAGUUGGCUAGAACUGUUGCCACAAGUCUGCCCAUGAAGAGAUCGAGUAGGGGGGAGAUGCAUCAGUCAUGAACGUGCAGAGCCUUUCAAUGCGGUUGGCAAGUAAUUCGCCAACGCAUUGUCGUCCGCUCCGGCAGCGUAGAGUACCGUGGAGCAAACCUGAAGGAACUCUUCUGGGUCGGUGCUCCCAUCAUAUUUCUCUAUUGCUCUAGGUCGGAAUCUUUCAGGCCAUCGGACAUCCCAAAGUGAACGACCGAAAGCUCUACACCCAGCGCUGGGGGCGGUGGGUUGUCGGCGAUCAUACGUUCUUCGUGGAUGUCUAUCUGAUGAUGAAGAUGACGAGGAUGAUGACGAUGACGAUGGGUCGCUUGGUUCCGGCGUAUAAUUACGAGGACGUCGGCCGGGCUCUCGAGAAUCCUGUCGUUGUCUCCCGUUGUUGUCUCGGCGCCGAUCUCCAUCAUCGUCGUCAUUAUGGCGACGUCCUCGACCAGUACCGCCCAGCACCUGCCGCUCGCGAUCGUCGUGAUCGUGGCGGUUGUGGCGGUUAUCACGGUCUCGGUCUUCGCUUGAACGGCCUCCUCGAUCUUCAUUAUCGUGACGCCGUGAAGAGAUAUGACGCCGCGAACGGUUCUCAUUGUCUCGUGUGCGUCGUGCCUCUCAGUGGCCAUUCAGGUGAUCACGGAAAUCGCCGGUGCCGCGAGGUGGAGGGGUCGCUCGAUGAGGCGAUUCCCGCCGUUCAGGGUCUUCACCAUUAGCAUCGCCAGUUGGUGGCUGUUCCGGAUGCGCUGCAAUAGCGGCCUCUUCGAACGCGUUACUGAGGUUGGUCACUGAUUCCCGUAGUCGUUCUGUCCAACGUGCAAGAUCAUUGUUCAGAACGGGAUCGUAGGGGGUUUCCCUCAGUAUUGCGUUGACGGCUCUGAUGUGCUGGGCCGGAGUAGUCACUUGAUUCUCCGCUUCCGCAUUGGUGCGCACUGACGUGCCGACAUCGUCGAUAGCCAAUACCUCACGCGGCGUACUUGUUGUCGAUGAUCCAUAGUCUUCGAGCAGAUGCAAGACUGAUGGUUCGUGGGGAUCGAUGUCGAUUACCCCAACAAAUCGAUCUGAAAUCGGCGUCGCUCCUUGUUCCUUGUCUUUAUCCAUGAUGGGGAUGUGUGACUGCUGGACCUUAGGAGGUGGCGCCUUCAUGGCGGAGAAAGACCUUGCAGCUCAAGAGGUCGUGAUUCUUUGUCUUGGGAAUAGGACAAUAGACAUCACGAGUUGGAGAGGUACGCUGAAUUCCACGCUCUUUGUAGGCACGAAUUUCAGCAUAGACGUUGAGAAAGACCCAGCAGGCUUGCAGGGUGUGUUUCCUGGUUUUGUGGAUAGGACACCAGGACCUUGUCACCUCGGAAGUAAUCCUCGUCGGCUCGUGAUUCCUGUCGGAAAGACAAGGCUUGGCCGCACUAGGAUCCUUCUCGGGCUCGGAUGUCGUCGACGUUCCGAUCUCCGCUUCGGCGGGAGGAUCCUUCGACAUGGAGUUGCCCCGGGUUGUAGCCACUGCUUUCUCGUUUCCGGCCAUUGGCGGACCAGCUGAGAUCGGCAUAGUGGUGUAAACAGGAAAGGCGAUUUCGCCGACUUGAGUCCACACCAGUGUUGUUGAAGUAGGAACUACUUGGUUGAGGUUGGUGUUGACGUUGUUGUCGACGAAGCUGGAUGUCAUAGUAGUAGAACCUUGAGCACCAAGUCCCCCUACCUAGCGUGCCACUGUCGACGAGGGAUAUCCGUAGACCGGAUAUAGAGGGUAUUGGGGUACGCUAGUACGAGGAUCUACGUAGUACGACAUCAAGCAAACAGGAAACAGGGAUUAUACUGGCUCAGGCCCCUUGGUAGGUAAUAGCCCUAAUCCAGUUAAUAUUGGAUUAUAUGAUGGAAACCACAGAUUACAAAGGGAAUAGUAGAACUUGACGAUACCGACGAGAUCGUAGUCGAGUCGAUCCGACUAGAUCUCCCGGCGACUUGGCUCCGAUAAGCUCCGACUUCGUAGGCUGUGGUGAUGCGUUGGCUCUGAGAUUCGAUCUCUUAGGUCCUCCCGGGGGGUCCCUUUUAUACCAUAGGUCAACUGGUCUCCAAGUAGGACUCGAGACAUCGGACCCGAUACGAUACAAUGACGACCCAGUUCUAUCCGAGUAGGACUCCUUACAUCUGUGAACUCCAUAAUGGAUUUCCCCAACCUAUGCCGAAAACGUCCACAUACGCGCAAGCAUACCAUGUCGAUAUGUGACGUAUAUCGAAGGGUAGAGGGUAUACCUUUCCCAUAACCCUGACAAUGAGAGCGAACGUGGAGGCUUCUUUUUCUAUUCCUUUAAUAAUAUAAUAGAUUCUAUCGAGGCCCUCACAAACAGUACCCGUAAGGUGUUUUUUUACGUUUAAGCCCUUUGUAAAUCCAGAUAUUGCAUGGAAAGAAGAGAAAAGGCACAAAUUAGAACUGCGCUGUAAAACUUAACAUACGAGGGGCUUUUUCGCAAAAUUACACGCCCUAACCCUAAACCCUAGCCGCCGUCGCCUGCAUCCCCUCCCUCCCCGGACUCAGAUUAUGUGACAUUGUGUAAGCAUGUCGCAAUGUGACAUUCGGUGGAUCUCAGCCAUCCAAAAUGAAUCCAAUGACUGCUUUGAUUGGGCCUGCCUGCAGGUCAAAAAAAAAAAUCCCCAAUCCAUCCAUCCCAGUGGGAGACGGCGCCCCAAUCCAUCCAUCCAUCCCGCGCGCUUCGCUGCUCUCGUCCGCCCGCCGCCGCGAGCUGGGAGGCGCACCGCCACCGUGACACGCAGCGAGUGGGGAGGUGUCCAAGCGUCCGCCGCCGUGCCUCGCCGGGCUCGCCGCGAGUGGGGAGGGGUCCGGGCGUCCGCCGCCGUGACUCGCUGGGGCCCUGCCGUGCCACCGCAGCCGGGGCCCUUCCACUUGAUGAUGAUGGCUGUUUCCAAGUUUUCUGUGUUGUCUGAAUGCUCCAAGUUUCAAGUUUCUAUAUUGCAAUUUUUCAUAUCUCCAUUCAUCAUUUAUGGGGGCAUGCUGUCAAUUUUUUUAGAAAAUAACAUCACAGAAACUCUGCAUGCUUCUUCCAAGACAAAGAUCAUGGACAAACAGAUAUCAGCUCAUGUGCAGUUAAUGUACAGAGUAAAUACUCAUAUUUGAUUGGAAGAUUAAGGUGAAAUCAGAAGCAAAGAGAGAACAAGGUGUUAAUGAAGCUUUAUAACUUCUUCAAGUCCCAGCAUGAAAAUGGUAGGAAUAGGAUGGCAUGAUGACAUCAUGAAAAUGUAACACAUGAACUGAAACACUUUGAGAUCAGAAAACACAGGAGUUCAGUUGCAGUUUCAGGUUUAACAAGAGAACAUAAGCAAUGUAUGCGUUUCCAUCUGAAUGGAAUGCAAUACUACAGAGGUUAAAUAGUACUAGUACAUAAUCUGAUUUGUCUAUCAGCUCAUGUAAUCUUUUGAGGGUACAUUGUUGCAAACAGAAUUGAUAUAAACAACGGCGGAAUACUCUUGGGACAGCACCAUGUCCAUUUCAUUCUGCAGAACUAACAAGUAGAUUGCAAGUGUGUAAACAUCUCAAACUAUGUACUCUGCCAACGCCAGGAUCUUCAGAUGCUUCUUUUUCAUGAGUUGUUCACAAGGACAAUGGCAUCCUCGCUUCAUAGCAGCACGGACAACCAGCGCGUCAUCACCGCCUCCGGCUGUGGCGGCACGCCAGGGCCCCGACCCCGGUCUCGUGCGGCGGCUGCCCGGUCCCUUCCCCAGCGGCGGCGAGCCUCCCAGCUCGCGGCGGCGGGCGAACGAGAGCAGCGAAGCGCGCGGGAUGGAUGGAUUGGGGCGCCGUCUUCCGCCGGGAUGGAUGGAUUGGGGAUUUUUUUUUUUUUGAGUGAAUUGCACUUCGGACCAGUUUUUAUUACCCGAGUUGCGUAUUGGACAAGGUAAUAGCAAAUGUUUUCACAUUACACCAUGUUUUCUUACCAGAGUUUGCACUUUGGACUAGUGUACCUACAUGAUCAGUAACCAAUAGCUCCUUCCACCUCGGUUCUUCUUGAACCUGAUCCAGAGAAUGCUGCCUGCCAGCCUCAUUCCUUUCCCACGCCAGUGAGGUACUUUUCUUCCCCAUCCCUCCUCUCACCAGUCACCAUGCCAAGCUCAAGGUAGCAGAGAAGGGACAAUGGUUGAGCUCGAGACGGCACAGGUGUCGGAGCUCAACUGUUCAAAGCUUGCGCGGGGUGGAGAUCUUGAGCUUAGAAAGGACGUCACUUCACCACCAAUGAGUGAUCUGAGCAUGGAGAAAUCCCUAUCUCAUUUUUCCUAUCAGUAAUGAGCCAACCAACAAGUAGAACACAUGGAUUCAUGGGCAGGGACAUAGCUCGAGCUCGUUUGGUCCUACGCAUGGCCACUCUGCUCAUAUUUGUUUGGCUCCCAGAAAGAAAAAAGAGGCACAACGCUGGAUCUGCCUUAUUCUUGGAGAGGAAAGAGAGGAGAAACAGAUUGGAAAACUAGAGGAGAAGAACAGGUGCAAUUAAAAACAGUUUGCAAAUAAACCUAGCCUAAAGUGAAAAUGUUUGUUUAGCCCUAGUCCAGAUUGCAACAUGGGCAAAAAGAUAUGGUCAUAUGUGUAAUUUACUAUUUUUUUUUGAGUAAAUUUCACAAAACUAUUCAAAUUGUAGAAAACCACACAUAUUUUGACACUUAGCACUUAAGUACAUAUAUUUUGGUAGUUUAGUUUCAUAAAACCACACUAUCGAUGAAUGGAUUCACCGGUGAUAUGACAUGGUUGUUCCAUCGACGUGGUAUACUAUUAAUUUUUCGUGCGAUGGCUGGUAAUAGGAUGUCAUGUCCUCGUCGUAGGUGAAACAGCCACGUCAUCUCGCAGGUGAAUCCAUUUAUCGAUAGUGUGGUUUUGUGAAACUACACAACCAAAAUAUAUGUACUUAAGUGACAAGUGUCAAAAUGUGUAUGGUUUUCUGUAACUUGAACCACAAAACAUGUAGUUUUGUGAAAUUUACUCAUUUUUUUUAUCUGCAGGAGGGCUCAAUCAAAGCAAUUGUUGGAUUCGUUUUUGGAUGGCUGAGAUCCAUCGAAUGUCACAUUGUGACGUGCUUACACAAUGCCACCUAAUCUGAGUCCGGCGCCGCCGCCGCUGUCUCGCGCCGCCACCGCCUACCCCUCGUUCAAAAAAAAACUUGCGCUCCUCCGGCGCCGAUCUGCUCCAAGGUCGGGGAGGCCACCCCCAACCUCCCCGACCAAACCAAUGGCUUCCUCCAAGGAAGCCUACCGCGUCGAGCUCCGAGCCGCCGCCCGCCAGCUCGGUGAGCGCGGCCUCUACUCCGCCGCCAAAUGGUACGUAGGUACGCCCCCUCCCCUAAAACCCCUCCUCUAAACCCUAACCCUAACCGCCGCCGCCUCUUCCUCUGUAGGGCGGCCGAGCUGCUCGUCGGCAUCGACCCCGACGCGACGCCGGCCCCGUCGUCGGCGAUGGACACCCCUUCCUCGUCGGGCUCCGGGGGGCACCUGCUGCACCUCCACCGCAGCGGCGGGUCCAGCUUCCGCCGCCGCCUCCGCCCGGGCGCGGCCGGGGAGGCCGGGACGCCGCUCGGCGGCGUCUCGUACGUCAGCACUCCCAUCCCCGACGACGACGACGCGUUCGAUGUCGGGGCUGAUAGGUACCUGCUCGCCAAGGCCUAAUUCGACUGCCGCGAGUACCGCCGCGCCGCGCACGUCCUGCGCGGCCAGACCGGCCGCAAGGCCGUGUUCCUUCGCUGCUAUGCCCUGUACACGGUGACUUCGGAUCCUAUUGUUUUUCUUUUUAAUUAUUAUUUUGGAAUGCGCGGGCGUGUUCCAGUUUGCAGAUGUUUGGUAUAGCGACUGGUGCUUGUCUGCUUGAGGAAAUGUCUCACUGGAGCUGCUGCAAAUAUUUACGGCUCCAAUUCGCCUAUAGAGUGAUUCAUAUUUCUCAACCUGUAGAAACAUCUGAUUAGUUAUCUUGACGUGUCAAUGGAGUAAUAGUAGUGGGAUCUUACUGAAAGAAACAAUAGGAAUACAUCAAAAUUAUUGUAAAAAUGUAAAAGUAGCUUUAUUUGGUAUGUUCCCCUUUGUUCAUGGUCUGAGCGCUAAUCUUUGAAGCCCUAGGGGUGGAGAUGCUAGCAUUUUUGAGUCUUAAUUACCCCCCUUGUCCCAUAAUGAUGUACUACUGAUUUUUGGCACUUUAAACCUUAAUUUGGUAAAUGUCUCGACAUCUGAAAAAAUGUUGAACCCUUUAUUGUACAUAACUGCUUAUUUGCUUCGUUCCUAGUUGUUUGGUAUCCUUUAUGCAUUACAGUGAUGCUUGAUUAUUUUUAUAGUAAGCGGUAGAUGCUGGUUUGCUGCAAUGUUAACAUUAGACGAAUUUAUUGCAUGCAAGAAUGCAUUUUACUAAUACAGUGGUUCUGUUGUAAUGAAGAUUGGAAACAUUAUAUUCUAAUAUUGAGAUGAACGGGCAGUAUAAGGUUUUAACUUAUAGUAGUAACACGAUUGCCCUUAUGCAACAAGGAGGGCUGAGGAUCCAGGUCCAUAAAUGAUUUAUCUUUUCCUCUUUGCUAUUUAAUUUGUGAUCUGCUAAAAAUAGGAGUAUAGGACUCGCCACAGUAAUACAGUGUAUAAUUGUGCGCUUGGGGCUAUGUUGCUUUUGGUUGCUAGUGUGCCACUAACGAAUAGUGGCUAGUAUUGAAGUAUUCAAUUUAGAACCAUGCUGAUUUCCAUUUUAGCAGGUCCUUUUAUUAGCUGGAUUUCUAUUUAAGUUGGCAAGCUGCACUGUUAAUAUGUACAGUUAGUGUCAAUCUUUGCAUCAAUUUACGUCUCUAUACACUAGGCCCUAAACUUAUUGGAUCGUAUAAAUGUGGCUAGCAAUCUUCCGAUCCAUGGAAGGAUACUAUGAAUGAGUUAUCUUUUCCUCUACAGGUUAUCUAAUUUUCUAAAUAUAGAAAUUGUCUCCUGUUUGCUUCGUAGUUUAAUUAGCAUUUUGAAAUUUGAUAUGUUUGGUGAUCAUAGUUAUUUUCUCUACAAUUUAGGCUGGAGAGAAACGGAAAGAGGAAGAAACAGUCGAGCUUGAGGGAUCUUUGGGCAAAAGCAAUGCUGUUAAUCAGGAACUAGUUGCAUUGGAGAGAGAGCUCGCAACACAUCGGAGAACUGGUGCUAUUGAUUCAUUUUGUUUGUACUUGUAUGGCAUUGUUCUACGUGAUAAAGGCAGUGAAGCUCUAGCUAGAACAGUUCUGGUGGAAUCUGUCAACAGCUACCCGUGGAACUGGAGUGCUUGGUUAGAAUUACAAUCUCUCUGCACUAGCAGUGACAUUUUGAACAACUUAAAUCUCAAGAAUCACUGGAUGAAAGAUUUCUUCCUUGCUAGUGCACAUCUUGAACUAAAAAUGCAUGAAGAAGCUUUGAAAAGAUAUGAGCGCUUAAUGGGGGUCUUCCGUUGCAGUGACUACAUUCAGGCUCAAAUAGCUACUGUGCAGUAUAGUAUGAGAGAUCUGGAUGAAGCUGACAUGAUUUUUGAAGAACUCCUUAGGACUGAUCCUUUUCGUGUGGAUUCUAUGGACGUUUACUCAAAUUUAUUGUAUGCAAAAGAAAGCUCGACUGCUUUAAGUUUCCUUGCUCACAGAGUAUUUUUGACAGAUAAAUAUCGCCCAGAAUCAUGCUGCAUAAUUGCAAAUUACUACAGUUUGAAGGGGCAGCAUGAAAAUCAGUUUUGUACUUUCAAAGAGCACUGAAGCUUAAUCGAAAGUAUCUUUCAGCUUGGACCCUUAUGGGACAUGAGUUUGUUGAGCUAAAAAAUACACCUGCUGCGAUUGAUGCCUACAGGAGAGCUGUUGAUAUAAAUCCCAGAGAUUACCGUGCUUGGUAUGGUCUUGGUCAGAUCUAUGAGAUGAUGGGAAUGCCGUUUUAUGCAGUUUAUUACUUCCGUAAAUCGUCAUACCUACAACCUAAUGAUGCCCGGCUUUGGAAUGCUAUGGCUCAGUGCUAUGAAAGCGAUCAACUCCAGAUGAUUGAAGAAGCCAUCAAGUGCUAUGAGAGAUCUGCAAAUAAUAAUGACACUGAAGGAAUAGCACUUCAUCAGCUAGCAAAGUUACAUGGUAUGCUUGGACAAUCUGAGGAGGCAGCAUUUUACUACAAGAAGGAUUUAGAGAGAAUGGAAGUUGAGGAAAGGCAGGGCCAGAAUUUUGUUGAAGCUCUGCUUUUCCUUGCUAAGCACUGUAAGAGCAUAGGCAGGUUUGAGGAGGCAGAGCACUAUUGCACAAGGCUCUUGGAUUACACCGGUCCAGUAAGUUCAAUUUUACAUAAAGUUCCUUUUACCUACUGAUGAAAAUAACAAAAGAUGGAAUGGAGCAAAUAGACUUCUUAUUUAUUGGCUAAUGUGUUAAUGAACACUUAUGUUUGCGUACAGUUCAAAUAGACUUAUAACUUAUUCAAUAAGCAUUCACUUUGAUUUGUUCUUUUAAGAGUGCCUGUUUGCUGUACUCUGGGUCUAAUUGAGGGAACUGGAAUAUCAUGUUUUUCUUUCAUAAAUAAAUCAAUAUUUGUUUGAUCUCUUCUUUUUGAUGAUUCUGAUUCACUACCACUUGUAUGUUCUAUAUUUACAGGAAAGGGAGACUGCAAAAAGUAUUUUGCAAGGGCUAAAAAGAUCACAAUCGGUACUUCCGUUGAUGGAUAUCGACCAUUUUGCAAUGUAAAUUGGACUUGCAGAUAAGUUAUUUAGUUGAAGAACUAAGGUGUUAUAAGUGAGAUGUACAAGAGAAAACUACCCCUUGCAUAUUCUUUUCUCCAUUUUUUGCAUGCAUCGAGGAAAGCUACACAUUGGUUUCAAGAGAACUGCUAUAAUACAGAACAGUCAUGAACAAGGGGAUUGGUUAUCACUCACACCACACCAAGCAAGGAAAAGAAAUCUAUCAAGGCCACAGACUGGCCCUGUUCUUUCUCUAAUAAAAGUUGGAUAAACUUUUGGAUACUCGUGGCACACUUUUCAAGCUACUAAACGGUGUGUUUUGUACGAAAACUUUCUAUAUAAAAGUUGUUCUAAAAUAUCAGAUUAAUCCAUUUUUCAAGUUUGUAAUAAUUAAAACUUAAUUAAUCACGUGUUAUUACCAUCUUAUUUUGUGUGAAAUACUUAAUCUUCAUCUUCAGAAUAUUUAAACACAACCACUGACCCACCUGAUGAAACUGGUACUUUGCGUAUCACCAGUACCAGUAGAGCAGCGACUUCCGAGCUGUGCCGCCCUGUUCGUUUCCUCUACUGGCAGGAGAUAAAAUUUUGGUUACUCGUGAUACAUUUUUCAAACUGCUAAACGGUAUAUUUCAUGGGAAAACUUUCUAUAUGGAAGUUGCUCUAAAAUAUUAGAUUAAUUUAAUUUUCAAGUUUGUAAUAAUUAAAACUUAAUUAAUCACACGUUAUUACAAACUUAUUUUUGCGUGAAACACUUAAUUUUUAUCUUCAUCUUCAGGAGGUUCAAACAGGUGAUCCUUAUCGUUUGUAUCCUUGCCAGAAGACUCCAUAGUGCUGGAGAUGUUGACUUUGUGUGCGUGAUGAUCGCUUCCAGUUGCUGAAGCUUGGUAAUUAGUAACACUAAUAUGCCUGUGCUAACGCUACGGUGAUAUAGUAAUGCGAAUUAAACAAUCAAAUGCUAAAAGAUACAUAUUUUAGCAAACUAAGGUCAAAUGUCUUAAAACCUGAAAAAACAAACAAUGAUAUAUAUCAUUGUAAUAUAUUUGGCCCAAAAAAUAUUUUCAUAUUCCUGUAAAUUCUCGUACAUGUCAUAUAAAUUUCAAUUUACCAAACCUAGGCUAAACUUUUCAAACAAAAUAGUUAAUCAGCCCUUAAUGAUACAGUACUAUUGACAUGAUCAUACAUUUAAAUUUUAUCUGCUCGUCUUUUCCCAGGAUUUCUUUCUGAACUUGUACGGGUAUGACCCGCGUUCCUUUCAUAUUAAAAACACUAGCUUGUUUAGUUCCACUUUUUUUUCACAGGAGAACUUGCCGGUACCUCUAGACUCGCUUCAUUGUCAUUCCACUCGCGGCAGGAUUUCCAGAAGAAGAUGCCAUUCGUUUGAUGAGAAAUAAAAAGAAAUAUCGAGAAUUCGCGUGGCUGAAGCUGAAGCAGCAACUUUCGAAGUAACAGAAAGAAAAGCACAGCGGCGGGAAUCGAACUCAGCAACAGGGUUCCCUAAACCGGAGAUUCACCGAAACAAACAACCAACAAGCAGCUUUUAAAGGGAAGGGAGAUAGACUGUGCCUUUCUUUCAUUUAUUUUUUCUUUUCUGCAAGGUAGGGGGCCUUGAGAGUUCCUCUUGUGGUAGCAAGUUACUUCGCAACCUGCUAUGUGUUUUUCCAAAAGAAAACUCUAUUGUUCCGCAUCUUGGAUUAACCAUCCCUUAGAGGGUAUUGUUAAAAGAUCCUCGAUUCCUAAUGAAAUCGAUGUAGUAGUGGCUUGAUGGAAGCUUUCCAAUAUCUUGAAAGAAAUACAGGGCACAGAUCAGUAACUAUUUUUGAAGGCACUAAAAAUAAUGCUCCACCUGGAAUCUGAAGAAGCUUACCAGAUUCAGAAGCCAGUGGCCGCCUACCUGCUUUGGUUGGUGGGGGCGGCUCCUCCGUUGUGGGUAAACGGGAAACCCGACUCUACGAACCCGAGGAAAGGCUGCACUGCUUCUGUAAGGGUUGAAAGAGAUAUAGAUUAGAAAGAUAAUUCCCCUUUUCUUUUUAUCCUUUAUUUCUUUUAUUUCUAUGGAUCAAAUAUUCUUU
rnacentral:lncRNA from 1 species